CAUUGGAAUGCCUUCAAACACUCUCUUGUUAUGGUUGUUCGAAGAUGAAGAGUUUUCCGGAAAUCAAGGGUAAUAUGGGAAGUCUAAGAGAACUUGAUUUAAGUGAAACAGAUAUAAUAGAAGUACCAUCAUCAAUCAGGCAUCUACAUGGGCUUAAAACCUUGAAGUUAAGUGAUUGCUUAAACCUUGUGAGUCUUCAGGUCGGUAUUUGUAGUUUGAGCUCUCUUCAAACUCUUUUGAUGGAUGGGAGUUUAGAACUAAAGGCCUUUCUAGAUAUCAAUAUUGGAAGUCUAAAAGCCCUUGAAUGGUUAGAUUUGUCAUAUUGCGAAAACCUUGAGAGUCUUCCGGAUAGUAUUUGUAGUUUGACCUCUCUUCAAACUCUUUUGCUGAAUGGGUGUUCAAAACUGAAAGCCUUUCCAUACAUCAAUAUUGGAAGCCUCAAAGCUCUUGAAUUGUUAGCUUUGUCAUAUUGCGAAAACCUUGAGAGUCUUCCGGACAGUAUUUGUAAUUUGACAUCUCUUCAAACUCUCAUGUUAAAAGAGUGUUCAAAAUUGAAGGGCUUUCCAGAUAUCAAUAUUGGAAGUCUAAAAGCUCUUAAAUUGUUAGAUUUGUCAUAUUGCGAAAACCUGACAGUAUUUGUAGUUUGACCUCUCUUCAAACUCUUUUGCUGAAUGGGUGUUCAAAAUUGAAGGCUUUUCCGGAUAUUAAUAUUGCAAAUCUAAAAGCUCUUGAAUUGUUAGAUUUUUCAUAUUGUGAAAACUUUGGGAGUCUUCCAGAUAGGAUUUGUAGCUUAACCUCUCUUCAAACUCUUUUGUUGAAAAAGUGUUCAAAAUUGAAGGCCUUUCCAGAUAUCAAUAUUGGAAGUCUAAAAGCUCUUAAAUUGUUAGAUUUGUCAUAUUGCGAAAACCUUAAGAGUCUUCCAGACAGUAUUUGUAGUUUGACCUCUCUUCAAACUCUUUUUUUGAAUGGGUGUUCAAAAUUGAAGGCCUUUCCAGAUAUCAAUAUUGGAAGUCUAAAAGCUCUUGAAUUGUUAGAUUUGUCAUAUUGCAAAAACCUUGAGAGUCUUCCGCAUAGUAUUUGUAGUUUGACCUCUCUCCAAACACUUUUGUUGAAUGGGUGUUCAAAACUGAAGGCCUUUCCAGAUAUCAAUAUUGGAAGUCUAAAAGCUCUUAAAUUGUUAGAUUUGUCUUAUUGCAUAUACCUUGAGAGUCUUCCGCACAGUAUUUGUAGUUUGACCUCUCUUCAAACUCUUUUGUUGAAUGGGUGUUCAAAAUUGAAGGCCUUUCCAUGUAUCAAUAUUGGAAGUCUAAAAGCUCUUAAAUUGUUAAAUUUGUCAUAUUGCGAAAACCUUGAGAGUCUUCCGGAUAGUAUUUGUAAUUUGACCUCUCUUCAAACUCUUUUGCUGAAUGGGUGUUCAAAACUGAAGGCCUUUCCAGAUAUCAAUAUUGGAUGUCUAAAAGCCCUUGAAUUGUUAGACUUCUCAUAUUGCAAAAACCUUGAGAGUCUUCCGCACAGUAUUUGUAGUUUGACCUCUCUUCAAACUCUUUUGCUGAAUGGGUGUUCAAAACUAAAGGCUUUUCCAGAUAUCAAUGUUGGAAGUCUAAAAGUUCUAGAAUUGUUAGAUUUGUCAUAUUGCGAAAGCCUUGAGAGUUUUCCGGACAGUAUUUGUAGUUUGACCUCUCUUCAAACUCUUUGGCUGAAUGGGUGUUCAAAACUGAAGGUCUUUCCAGAUGUCAAUAUUGGAAGUCUAAAAGCUCUUGAAUUGUUAGAUUUGUCAUGUUGUAAAAAGCUUGAGAGUCUUCCGAUGAGCAUUUGCAAUUUGAGCUCUCUCAAAACUCUGCGGAUUAAAGAUUGUCCAAAACUCAAGGGAAUAUUAAAGAUGAACCUAGGGGUUGAUUUAUGCUCCUCGAGAUCUUUGAAUCUGACUUGUCACAUUUCAAAUUCAGGAGUAAUCUGGGAUAAUGACUGCUUUUCCUCAUUAAAAGCAUUAAAUCCAUGGUGCCCCCUGUCAUCACUGGUAGAAUUAUCUGUAAGAAACUCUAAUCUCAUGGAACGAGACAUCCUCAGUGCUAGUUUUCGCUUAUCCUCAAUGCAAAUAUUAUCUCUAAGGAACUUCCCUUUGAUGGUAGGAGGAAUCCUUGAUGACAUUUUCCAUCUAUCUUCAUUGGUAGAAUUAUCUCUUAGUGAAUGCAAUCUGAUGGAAGUAGGAACCCUCCAUUAUGUUUGGAACCUAUCUUCACUGCUAAGAUUAUAUCUAAGAAACUGUAAUCUAAUGGAAGGAGAGAUCCCCAAUCAUAUUUGGCACCUAUCAUCAUUGUGUAGACCCUCAAUUUUGUCCCUUUAGCACAUGUCUUUAAAAUUCGUUUUCAAUGCUCCACAAUAGUUCCUUGGUGGCCCAUGGCUACUCAUACCACUUACCUUUUUCUGAGUCACCUCGGAGAUUUUGGUUGAGGGAUUAUUUGAUCCCUUAUUGUGACCCUUGGCAGCCCUAACUUAGACUUAGGCUUUUCUUGUUUUUUUAGGAUAGCUUUUAGAUACACUUGGCCCAUUAGGCACUACCCUAGGCCCACUUAGUCUCACCUUAGGCCCGUUUAGGCACACUAGGCCUACGAAGACUUUUAUUUUAUUUUAUUUUAUUUUAUUUAUUUAUUUAUUUAUUUUGUUUUUAGUUUUAAUUUUAUGAUUAUCAUUCACUUUUUAUUGGUUAUCUUCCUCUUUAUAUCAUUUUCCUUAACUUAUUUAUUUAUUUAUUAUUUUUACCAUUUUUUAAUUUAUUUACUUAUUUAUCUAUUCAUGCAAUUAUUUAACUUCAAAAAUUUCAUGUUUUUGCAAGGAAACUUACCAUUGGAGUUUAAGGAAGGCGGGACUCUCCUUGGAAGGUUUUGGAGGGGAAUUUGAAAUUGGGAAGAUUGCUUUUGAUUGGAGGAUUUAAAAAAAGAAGAGAAGAAGAAAGGAAAGAGGAGAAUUUUCCUUUUUGGAAACAAAUUUAGGUCUUGAGGGGUGAUAUAUAUAGGUGAGAAAAGGAAAAGAAUAGGGGGAUUUUUCUAGGGGGGCAGGGCACACGGAAUUUUGAAAAAAAAGCAAGGGACUUCGAACGGAGAUCGGGCUGUCAUUUAAUCAUCAAGAGAGGAUUUUCUCUCACUUCAAAGGUUAGUUUUCUAUAUAGUACUUUUAUUUAGCCUAGAUUUUUUUUUUUUUUUUUUUUUUGGAAAUUUUAGUUUUUGAUUAAUUCUUUGUGUUAAAGUUUAUAUUAUUUUCUUUUUAAAUCCCCAAUUAGUUUAAUUCUAAUCUAUCUUUUAGUUUAAGUUUGUUAAUGAUUUUAAUUCUUAAGUUUAAAUAAUCCUAUCGAAUAAAGUUUGUAUUUUUAAUCCCAAUUAGUUUGAUUUUAAUUUGUUUUUUAGUUUAAAUGUAUUUUGUUGAUCUUAAUUCUUGACUUUAAAUAAUCAUGUUAAAUAAAGUUUGUGUUUUUAAUCUCAAUUAGUUUGAUUUCAAUUCGUUUUUAGUUUAAAUACAUUUUGCUGAUCUUAAUUCUUUAGUUUAAAUAAUCAUAUCGAAUAAAGUUUGUAUUUUUAAUCCCAAUUAGUUUGAUUUUAAUUUGUUUUUUAGUUUAAAUGUAUUUUGUUGAUCUUAAUUCUUUACUUUAAAUAAUCACGUUAAAUAAAGUUUAUGUUUUUAAUCUCAAUUAGUUUGAUUUCAAUUCGUUUUUAGUUUAAAUACAUUUUAUUGAUCUUAAUUCUUAAGUUUAAAUAAUCAUAUCGAAUAAAGUUUGUAUUUUUAAUCCCAAUUAGUUUGAUUUUAACUUGUUUUUUAGUUUAAAUGUAUUUUGUUGAUUUUAAUUCUUANNNNNNNNNNNNNNNNNNNNNNNNNNNNNNNNNNNNNNNNNNNNNNNNNNNNNNNNNNNNNNNNNNNNNNNNNNNNNNNNNNNNNNNNNNNNNNNNNNNNNNNNNNNNNNNNNNNNNNNNNNNNNNNNNNNNNNNNNNNNNNNNNNNNNNNNNNNNNNNNNNNNNNNNNNNNNNNNNNNNNNNNNNNNNNNNNNNNNNNNNNNNNNNNNNNNNNNNNNNNNNNNNNNNNNNNNNNNNNNNNNNNNNNNNNNNNNNNNNNNNNNNNNNNNNNNNNNNNNNNNNNNNNNNNNNNNNNNNNNNNNNNNNNNNNNNNNNNNNNNNNNNNNNNNNNNNNNNNNNNNNNNNNNNNNNNNNNNNNNNNNNNNNNNNNNNNNNNNNNNNNNNNNNNNNNNNNNNNNNNNNNNNNNNNNNNNNNNNNNNNNNNNNNNNNNNNNNNNNNNNNNNNNNNNNNNNNNNNNNNNNNNNNNNNNNNNNNNNNNNNNNNNNNNNNNNNNNNNNNNNNNNNNNNNNNNNNNNNNNNNNNNNNNNNNNNNNNNNNNNNNNNNNNNNNNNNNNNNNNNNNNNNNNNNNNNNNNNNNNNNNNNNNNNNNNNNNNNNNNNNNNNNNNNNNNNNNNNNNNNNNNNNNNNNNNUGAUGGAUAUUUCAUUAGCUUAUUUGAUCUAAAUAUUAAUAAUUUAUUGCUUUGAUAGUUUCCUUUUUGUUCAAAGGCCAUUGGAAAAUCAUGAAGAUUGGCCUCUACCAUCACCAUUAUCAUUUUUGUUAAUUACUAAAAAAAUUUUACUUUGAGGUUUCAUUUUUGUUUUGUUGGGUAUUUUAUUUCUUAUAUUUUAUUUUUUCCAAAUUAAUUCCUUUUAUUUUAAAAUAAAAUACUUUUCUCAAAAAAAUCAUUUUAAAAAUCUAUUUCAAAAACUCAUUUAGAGUCCUCAGGAUCAAAAUCUUUUUUUUUAUUAUUUAAAAAUAAUAUGCAACCAUAUCUUGUUCGGUUUGCAUCCUUCUCGGUUUUCAACAAAAAUUUUGGUUUUGAACAAAAACACGAAUCAAAGCUUGUGGUCCCAAAUAAUGGGAUAAUUCUGGGCUAAAUUUGUGUAUAUUAAUUUGGGGAAUUGGUGAAACCCCUACAUAAGAAAAUCUUUUCAAAAAUUAUUUUUGUUGCCAUCUUUGUCACUUGUUGAAAUUAUGUCUAUUUUUUUUAAGAAUUGUAUACAUGAUGAGUGUGAUAAUUAAUGUUUUCAUAUGCUUUGAUAAUUUUUGUUAUGCUAAUUAGAUAACAAGCAUGCUAGGGUUUCUUUAUUUUAUUAUUAUCUAAUCCCUCAUGUCUUAUGGAAGCGCAUUGUAAGUUAUCUAUGCUAUCCAGGUAUGCCCCCUAAUGACCUACUUUCUAAAUUUCGUAAACAAUCAUGUCACUGUGAAGUAUGCAUAUGUUUGAUAAUCCUUAGGUGUUUAGAUGUAUGCUUGAUUCACUAUGAUUAAAUACAUGUUGUGUGUUAUACUUCUAUAUUAACUCUGAUGUUUUAUGAUAGCGCUUGAAGAGCGGUUCAGGUACGCACCCUAACUCUCAGUUUUUGUGAUUUGAUCUUGUUUAGCAUGCAAAUCUUUUGAAAUCACCUAGUCUACCUAGGUCCAUAAUUAACCGAUUAAUUGCCAUAUUCCCCUUAACUUAAUUAGUAGAGACCUUUUUAGGGCUUAGAAGGGUGCUACCUCUUAGAGGUACCUUCCCAAUAAGUAACCUGAUCCCCGGACCAAGACUUGGGUUUUCAAAGACACGCUUUUCCAAAAAUUAUGGAGUCAUUUUUUUUAGGGUUUUAUUUCUUGUUUUAUUUUCCCUUCAAAAAUAAAAAUAAAAUAAGUGGCGACUCCAACUUUUUUUUUUCAAAAAUCAAUUUUUCACAAAAUAAUAAAAAGCGAGUCUCACCGAUCGAGUGGGGGCGCACGUGAAAAAUGCGGGUCCACAAAUUGGCGACUUCGCUGGGGAUUUUGAGGAUCAAGCUUGAACACUAGUUAGGAAAAUGUGGCGUUUAAUUGGUCGAUUAGUGGGUACCUCUUUUUUUAGGCAAGGUGAUUCGAUUUGCUUGCUUGUUUGGUUUGCUAUCUUAACAUGUUUGAUUGCCUUGGAUGAUCACUUAACUGUUUGCUCACUUUAGCAUGAUUCACUCUCACAUAUGUUAGAUAGGACUUUGUUUGUUUGAUAUUUAUCUGCUCAGCAUGACUGUUUGUUGUGUUUGCCUUGGAUGAUCACUUGAUUGUUUUGCUCACUUUAGCAUGAUUCACUCUCACAUAUGCUAGAUAGGACUUUGAUUGUUUGAUAUUUAUCUGCUUCACAUGACUGCUUGUUGCAUGACAACCCUUGCUCUUGCAUGUUCGUAUGAUUGCUUGUCUUCAUUCACUAUCUCACUUUAGACCUUAGGUUUUUCGGAUGCACCCACAUCCUUCAUUGUGCACUUUAGAUUAUCCUUGAGUGUUGAGAGAUGGGAGAGCCUUCACCAUUAAGAAACCCCCUGGGAACGCGAGGAAGUGCAUGUGUGGAGGUGAUGACCACCUUGCAUGGAAGCACCCCGUCUUCUUGGAGGCGUGCAGAGGGUUGCGUACCGCCGGAGGGUACGAUCGCUUCUGCUAGGGAUCCUUUGACCCGCUCAUUUUAUCUUAUAGAGCCACCUUAACCUUGUAGGUUAGCCUAGACCCAAUUAAGAUUUCAUUCCUACACGUGGGUGCAUCUGUGGACCUUCAGAGCUGCCUUGGUCACAAUUGGAAUUGGUUAUCCCUUCCUUAGUCUCCUUUUGGUGUAAUCAGAAGAGGGUAUCAGAUUGAGUAUAUUUGGGCUUUGCUUCUACGCCUUUGAUUCAUACAGAGUCACCUUCGAGUUACACCUUAUUCAGUGUUUCCAUAUUUGUAGGAGGGUUUACCGUGACCGAUCUGGAUUCACCUUUGUGGAUUAGAGUUGGAGGUAGAUUGAGCAGAGUAUCAGACCAGUCAGAUCAGAGAUCAGAUCAGAGGGAUAUGGACUCACAGGUAGUUACCGUUGACCAGUUUGCCGCAGCCAUGGCUUCUAUCCAGGAGGCUAUAGCUAACCUUGGUCAGAGGAUAGAUGGACAGCAGACCCAGCAGGUCCCAGUUCAGGAGAGUACCCAGUUCGAUACCAUAGUACCGCCACCACCUCUGCCUAGUCAGUCAGUACCACAGGUUAUACCUUUCACUCUGCAUAGUCAGAUCGAGGUUGCCCCGCCUCCUAUCACAUCGCCUAUCCCGGCUUCAGAGGACCCACAUGCUCGUAUGGAUAAACUUGAGCAGAAGUUGAGACAGAUGAGGACUUCAGAGGGAGCUAUUACUUGGGAGGAUUUUGAUGGAGCACCAGUGGCCAGUCUACCGGCCAAAUUUAGGAUGCCUGAGAUUGAGAGAUACACAGGCAUAGGAUGCCCUCGCAUCCAUUUGAGACUUUAUAGUACUGUUAUGAGGGCCCAUGGACUGGAUGAUGCCCAGAUGGUUAUGCUCUUUCCUAUGUCAUUGAGUGGUGCUGCACAGCGUUGGUUCGCUUCAUUGGAGGUAUCACGCCGUAGGACUUGGGAUGACUUAGCCCAGGAGUUUUUGAGACAGUUUGCAUUUAACACUGUCAUUGAUGUUUCGAGGAGAGAGUUGGAGGCUUUGAGACAGAGGCCGGAGGAGUCAGUCACUUCAUUUAUCUCCCGCUGGAGGGAGAAGAUUUCACAGAUUAUAGACCGUCCUUCAGAUAGAGAUCAUAUUAGCAUGAUCAUGAGGAGCUUGCAGCCUAGAUUUGCUAGACACUUGAUGGGAUUUCCCCAUACGGAUUUUGGAUCUUUGGUACAGGCUUUGUACGGUAUAGAGGAGGGCAUUGCUAGAGGAUUAUGGUCUGAGUCUUCCCCUACUGAUUCUAAGGGGAAGAGGCCUUCAGGAGGACAGAGAUCAGGAGAUGUUGGUGCUAUCAGUUUAGCAGGGAUGAGACCUUCUAGACACUAUCAGACAGUUGGGCAGACUCCUGGGUACUACUAUCCACCUUCACCUCAUGCGCAUUACAGACCACCCGCUCCUUCCAGACCCAUGACUCCUACCUAUCUACAUCCAGUCUCACAACCUAUUUUCGCUGCACACGUCGUAGAGAGGCCUCCUGCCCCAUAUAUUCGACCCCGAGCUCCACAGACCACUACUUAUGUGCAGAGGCCACCACGUCAGUUUGCUCAGUUGGGUAUGCCUUUGAGUCGAGCUUUUCAGAAGCUCACAGAGGGUGGAUUACUGAUUCCAUUAGCAUCCAGGCCUUUACCCCAACCCAUACCACCUCGCUUCAGGAUGGACUUACAUUGUUCCUACCAUCAGGGACCAGGGCAUGACACGGACCAUUGCACUGCUUUGAGACAUGCUAUUCAGGACUUGAUAGACCAGGGUUUGGUCAACUUGGGGCAGCCAAGUGUGACUACGAACCCUCUUCCUGCUCAUUCUACACACGCAGUGCAUCCAUCUUUAGGAGAUAUUCGUCACAUGGACCUUAUAGAGGAUGACAGUAUACACAUGUUGAGUUGGGAUGAUGGAUUACUUGAGCCGAUUGUUCUGCAUGACAGCUAUGAGAUUGAUGGGGUUUCAUUGGUCCCUCAGGCUCCUGCACCAUUCAGUUUGAUCCCGGACGAGGCACUAUUCCAAUUGACUCAUCCUACACCCUUAGUUAUCGGAUGUCAGGAUACUUUUGUCCCAUUCACUUUAUGGCCAGAGGAUGAUGAUUCAGCAGGAAGAGAGAUACAGAUUGUGACUCGCAGUGGGAGGAUAGCUCAGCCACCACCACCAGCAGUUAGACCAUUUGAGGGUACAACCUCUCAUGAGGAGGUUAGGAGAGAGGAUGAUGAGGUUUUGAGGCAGCUACAGAGCACUCAGGCUCGCAUUUCCAUCUGGAGUUUAUUAGCAUCAUCCAGUACUCAUAGAGAUGCUUUGAUUCGAGCCUUGAGUCAGAUCAGAGUAGAGACUACCACCACUCCAGAGGGAUUGAUUCAUAUGAUGACGGCUGGCAGGGCCACUUGCAUUGUAUUUUCAGAUGAUGACUUGCCACCUGAUGGUUUAGACCACAUGCGCCCUCUAUAUAUCACAGUUGGAUGUUUAGGCCGUAGAGUCUCGUCAGUCCUACUGGACAACGGCUCAGCCCUGAAUGUUUGCCCUUUAGCCACUGCUAUAGCCCUUGGUUUCGCACCUUCAGAUUUUGGUCCUUCUACUCAGACAGUCAGAGCGUAUGAUAGCACCAAGAGGGAGGUUAUGGGUACCUUGAUGAUCGAUUUGCAGAUUGGUCCAGCCACAUUUUCCACUUUGUUCCAGGUUUUGAGGAUUCCUGCAUCCUUUAGCCUGCUACUAGGCCGACCAUGGAUUCAUGUAGCUGGAGCUAUUCCUUCUUCCCUUCAUCAGAAGGUGAAGUUUAUUCAUGAUGGGCAGGUCAUCACAGUGCGUUCUACCAGGGAUAUAUUUGCGUCUUCUGAGCCAGUACUUCAGAUCAGUCACAGUGAGGACGACCUACUUCUGACUGGGUUUACUUUUGAUGAGAUACAGACUCUCGAGAUUGAGGAUUUUUGUAGAGACUUUGUGGCUAUGUCAUUUGAUCAGCACAGUAGCACAGUGGUCCUUGAUAUGAUGAGGGGUAUGACCUUUCUACCUGGCAUGGGGUUAGGAUGACGUCAACAGGGACCGAGCGAGUUCAUAGCUGCCAUUGACCAUGAUACGACAUUUGGACUUGGAUUCAUCCCUAUUGAGGCCGAUUACCGUCACAUGGCGCGGCUGCGCAAGGAGAAGGUGAGAGCCCGUUUAUCCCACACACCAUUUGAUUAUCCUAUUCGACCCUAUAGGAUGAGUUUGGCUGACUACUUUGUCAGAGGAUCAGAGACUCGACCUCGUCUAGAGGAGAUUGAUAGUGUGGUUCAUACAGAUAGAGAGACCGAGCUUCAUGACUCAUGCCCAAUUGGUGUCUCAGCUGAUUUGUAUUCAGCUGGUGCUCCUUGAUUGAGGAAGUGAUCAACAAAAUUUAUACCUAUAACACCAUACACUAGGGUAGCAAAUACAAAGCUACUAUAGUAUAGUGGCUCUAAGGAUCGUUCACUGGGAAUGAUUUGCAAGCAAUCAAGGAUACCAAUUCCAAGUGAAUUGGUCUUGUUUCAUUUCACGGUUAGCUUAAGAAGUAAAACACAAAGUUUGAUUGGUAAAGGUUUAGACUUAAACUAACUAACUUAACAGAAGUUUGGAAUAAUUUAGGAAGAAAAGCAUUCCUUGGAGAUUUAGGUUCACUGGGGUGGUUCCUCAUGCAAAAGACAUAGCUCCGGUCAGAUGGUUCAUUUCCUCGCAUUAGAGAUUCAACUUAGAGUCAAUUCUCUAACCGGUGAUGUACAGAGACUCCUUCAAUUAGAUUUCACUUUAAUUCUCUCACUGAUGCAACUUGCAAUGGUUCAUGCCUCUCACGAGCACUUACCAUUCAAGGUGAUCUUUAACCUUGGAUUCCCUUCACAAACUCGCAAGAGAUAACUAAUGGAUGUCUCCUAAGAGUCCAAAAGCUUACCAAGUGUUGGUAAUUCCAGAAAAUCCUACCUUGAAGUCACCUACCAAAGGCUCGCAAGGGGUAAACUAGUGCAUUUCCACGGUUGGAAAUCACUUGCCUUACCAAGUGUUGGCCCAGGUGACUCCAAAGUGUUUUAAGUUAACUAAAAACAUUGAAAUCACUAAAGGAUUUCACUUCCUCUUCAUUUCUAGCUAAAACCACAGAGCUUUGCAUUUUUGCACUUGGAACCUUCCCCGGCAACCUUAGCUCCAAGGAAUUGGAGGUUUAGUUACUCAUUCUCUGGGGAAAACUCCUCAGAGAAUUCAUAACUUAGAAAUAAAAUGAAAAUACAAAGUGAGAAGGUGAGGCAAUAGAAGGAAAAGACUUUACUUGCUUACCAAAAUGGUUACAGAAGGAACUCCUCUCUGAGAACAGGCUCCCGAGAGGUAUAUAUAUCAAAGCAAUAUAAAACUAAUUGUUACACUGAUAUUUGGUCUUUUUACUAACUUUAAAACUAAGGAAUCAUGUAAUUGGUGGUUUACAAGGAGUAUUUUGGGAUUUAGACAACAAAAAUCUAAUGGAAAAUAUCUCCCAAUGUCGGUAGCAAGCUUCGGGAGGCUUCAGGAGCCAUUUCGCAGGAGAAAAGUGGUGCCUGCGAAAUUUCGCAGACACCCAAUAGGGCUGCGAAAUUAUUUCGCAAGACCGAGCUAUCUUCACCAGGCUGCAAAGUUGGCUUCCAUCUUGAAGUUUCCAGCUUCCCUCUCGCGGCAUGGUUCGUGCAUCGUCAGAAGAAGAAACACCUUACUGUACAAAAGUGUUGCAAAAUUCUCGCAACAAAAGGCUGAUUCCGCAGCACUUUAGAGUGACUGGCUUGUAAUGGCUGCAACUUCUUCGUUUCAACUCCAAAUUGCACACCGUUUGAAGCAUUGGAUUGUUGACUUCCUGAGCUUUGAAAUGGUAUAUAGCAUGCAUCAUUUGGACUUCAGAAAGUGCUCCAAAAGUGGCUGCUACGACUGUCAUCAAGAAUAAGCUUCAUGACUGAUCCUCUUUGCUUUUUCUCCUUGCAAUCCGGAUUCACUCUUGGCAAUUGAAUUCUAAGCUUUGCCCAAGAUUCCUCAUAGCUCUCCUCAUUCUUGACUUGCUUUGGUGAUCAAAAUACUAACAAAAACACCAAAACUUACACAAAGUGAUCAAAAUUGCUUUAAAGGAUCCUUAACAUGCCAAUUGAGUUAAAAGGCCUAAACUACUACUCAAAAGUGGUAAAAAGGAUUAAUUAAAGGCUAUCAAAUAGCACUUUUUGAGUAGUAAUCACUCCCCCCAACCGACAUAUUGCUAGUCCCUUAGCAAUAUAGGAGAGAAAAAUGAAAAUAAAUAGCUAAUUAUACUAAAAUUUACAACAUCAUGCUAAAGGAAAAUAAUUCUCAAGUGGCAUGAUGAUCUAAUUCUCACAUGAAUCAUUAAAGAAAUACAAACCCAAAUCUCAACAAGAGUCAUAACAAACUAUGUUAAGCACUGUCAAUCAAGGGAGUGCAUUAUGCAAACUGAAGUUUUAAAAUCAUUUCAACUUUCAAAGAACUAAACUUCAAUCUUCCACAAAAAUCUAUGUGUAUUGGUUCCUUAGGUUCCGAGAAUAAUAUGCUACUAAUCUCACCCCCCAACCUAUCUCUUUUCAACACUUUAGCAAACUGACCAAAAUCAAUAAGAAAAGAACACACUUUCAUCUUUUUUUUUUUUUUUUUUUUUUUUUUUCAAGGUAGCUUUAUGGGGUACUCUUUCUGACUUGUCCAUGUAAUGGGGGUCCAUCGAUGACUCCCAACCAAUUAAGGUUUAGGGCACCAAGUUUUAAGGAUCUUUCAACCACUAACUCCUCGGAUUUUUCCCCGGACUUUUAAGAAUGAGAUUCUAAUACCCAAGCAUCUACCAUAUGCUAACUCUACCUAUUCACCCUUGUAACGAGCAUUGAGGUCGGUGACUCCCAACCAAUUAAGGCUUAGGGCACCAGGCUUUAAAGGCUUUCACCAUAUGCCCCUCAGACCUUGCUCGGGUUUCAAGGCAAGCAAACAAAUUUCUUUAUUUCAAAGGCUCAUUGGCCUUUUGCAGAGUGUUUCAAUUUUUAUUAAAUGAGGUCAAAUAUACCAAGUCUCAAAAUUAUCCUAAGUCAAGAGGGAAAUAGCUUUUCAUCUUAUAAUCGGAAACUAAUGUGCACAGUGUGUGGAUAGCUUAAAGUGGAAGAACUUAAUUCAAUUUCAGUAGAAGUUUCAACAAUUGAACCACUUUAGUAAGCAUAAUCCAUACUCUAAGUCAAGUGAAAAACAACAGUUCAAUUUCUCUUGGUUUAAUUUGAAAAUUUUUCCUCAAAAUUCAUGGAGAAUAGAGUAACACUAAUAAAAAGUAAAAACUACAACUAAUUAACCAAUAUAAUUAAAAUACCAAAAAGGUUUAGAAUACUUCCUUCCUCAUACCCCCCAACCGAAUUGAGCAUUGUCCUCAAUGUGAUUUGAGUGACUGUAAUAAAAGGGAGGAAGUUGUAUCUCCAUGCUGAUAUCAAAUUCGAAUAUUGAUUGGGGAAAACCACAUGUUUCAAAAAGAAUAGAAUAUGUGAGAAAAGGAAAUAAUAAUAACUUAAUGCUAACUUUUAACAAGAAAUAGUCAACUUGUAUUACUUUGAGUUCAUUUAAUUACAAUGCUAAAAACAAGUAACACAAGGAAUCCCAUAUAUAGUACCAAAAUACUGGGAUUUCAUUUCAACUAAAACAAAACAAACAUGCAUAAAAACAUAAACAGAAAAUAUAUAUAAUGUCUGAUGAGUGGGGUGAUGGUGCUAAGCAGAAGGAUCUGCCUUCUCAGUAGGUGGAUCAGCUGGUGCUUCUGGCUCUGGAGCUUGAGACUCUGAAGGCUGAGAGUGUGGCUCUGGUGGAGUCUCAGUGGAGGGCUCUACAGCUUGUGGCAGGUCGAAAUGGACUUGAAGCUGCCUUAGGAUGGCAGCUUGUUGAGCCUGAGAGGCUAACAUCUGCUCCUGGCAUGCUUUGAUGGCUGCCAACUCCUGAGCAAGAUUGCUCUGGGUAGCUGUAAGAGUCUCCAAUGCACGACACAGCUCUCGAUAUUCGGAUAUAGGGAUGGCCAUCCUCGGCUCAGCUGAUGUGGAUGGCUGUGAUGGAGCAGGUGCAGGUGCAGGUGCAGCUGGUGGAGCUCGAGGGAUGGCAGGAGUAGCAAGUGUGAUAUCCUCUGGUCUGUGCCUUGGGGAGGCUCUCCUUGCUGCUAGCUGAGGCUGCCCAGGCUGAUCAAUUUUGUAGGCCGUCAUAUUAUUCCAUUUAUCAAGGGUAAAUGGCUCACGGCAAAUUCUCUUUCUUUCCUGCUGAGGCUCAGAGGGGUAUCCGAGAUGCUCCAAAACUUGGCAUAGCAGCCUUGGGAAGAGGAGUGGAAUGCAAUCUGCUCUUUGAAGCUUCUUCUUGUAAACCUUCUCCUCAAAGUAGAGAAGGGCUGCCAUGAUCAGAUGAUGAGGCCCAAAGAAGAAUCCUUCUGGCAUUUUGUACAGGGCUUCCAGGAGAAUUCCCCUUCUUUGGGUCCAAUGCUGUAGGGGAUAGAUAUUAUGCCUCAAAAAGGCAUCAAUCAAAAACAUCACUGGAGGUAGCUCCCCCCUCAACAGGUGUGACCGAUUUGCAGCUCCUCUAGACAAGGUGCUAACCAUCUCUAGCUCAGCUGGAUUUACCCAAGCCUUAAAAUUGUCAAAUUGGGUUGGCUCAAAAGGAAUUUGCAGAGCUUCAGCAAUAUGUCUUGCUCCCAAAAUACCAUGUCUACCAUCAAUAAUAAAAUGAAUCAAGGUUGGAUUUCUUACUUCUUUGGUUGUCAUGGUCUGGUAGAAAUCAGUGACUACCCGGGGAUAGAAAAAAUCCCUUGGAGCUAGCAGAUGCUCCAUAUGAUACUUCCUCAGCAGCUGGAAGGAUUGGGCAAGCUCUGGCCUCACUCUAAAUGUUGCUAAAUCGAAGCACAAUUCAGAAUGGAAUGCCCGAGUUCGACAAUCCAAGUUUCCUUCGAUUGGGGGCUGGGGCAGCAUUGGCCUUCGGAUCACUUCUUCCAGAGGUGCUUCAGCUGCAAUUUGGGGCUCUGGAAUUGGCGCUUGAGACUCCUGAGCUUUUUCUUGGGGUGCCGGAGAUGGUACCGGCGAUGGAAUUGGAGUUGCUUCUGGUGAGGGAACCGGUGACGGCAUUGGAAUUUGUACCGGUGAAGGAUUUGGUGAAGAUACCGGAGAUUGAACCGGUGUUGGCUUUGGGGAUUUCUCAGGGGAUUGCUCAGUCAAAUUGAUUGGUUCAGAGCUCUCAACCCUGGCUUUCUUCUUCAACGGUCGACCGCCUGACCUGGUUAAAUAUCGCCUUGCCGGCGGCUUUGGUGGCGCCGGCUUCACUGGAGAAGGUUGUGGUCUCGACGGCGAAGGCUUUGGAGCAGGUUCUGGAACAGAGCCUGGACUUGGCUCCUUUCGCAGACUCCUUUUACGGUUCGAAGGGGAUGAAGACUUUGCCCCUCGCGUUCGUGCCAUUUUGGGCUAUCGAUCUUUGGCCGGCGCUGCUAAACGGAGAAGAUGACCGGAGAAGCGAACGGCGUGGCUUGGCGAAGAAGAUGAAGGGGCCGCGAGAAUGGUGCUCUGAUUUUUGAAACCCUUUUCGCAACACUUUUGACCGGUAUAAAUAGGAAAAACGGAAGCCCAGGGGUCAGUUUAAGUUUCGCAACAAAACGCCAAUUUCGCAGCAACUUGCCAUUUUCGCAGCAACUUCGCAGUGAGUUUCGCAGCUGCGAAAUCGAUGUCACUGUGCUGCGAAGUGGCACUCGUGUGCCAAAACCACUUUCGCAAUUGCGAAAUGCCCUGCGGAAUGGGACUUUUGGUGCGAAAUCACGCUUUUCCAUUUCGCAAUGAGUUUCGCAGCUGCGAAAUGGAUGCUACUGUUCUGCGAAGUGGCACUCGUGUGCCAAAACCACUUUCGCAAUUGCGAAAUACACUCGCAGGGACUUCUACAGUGCUGCGGAAUGGUUUGGCAACAAAAAUCACAUUUCGCAGAAGUUUCCUUCACUCUGCGAAAUUUCGCAGAGCUCUGUUUUUCCCCUGUUUUUGCUCUGUUUCUGUUUUGUUUCGGCUCCAAUUUCGACCCGAUUUUUUUCUUUUCAAUUUCCUUGAAAUUUCUUCCACCUGGGAUCAUAUAAAACGAUUAAAACACACCUAAAAACAUGAUUUAAGAUAAAAAAACUAAGAUCAAAAGUAUGGAAACAACUUGAAAAUUUACAAAAUUUACAAAAAAUUUGGACUGUGGUAAAACCACGUCCAGCAAACCCAUUUCACUUAGGCUUUUUGAGGUUCAAGGAGGUUGAUUGCCUCCUUUUCUGAUUUGAACGACUCCAUGAAUGGCUUAAGAUGAUAUCCAUUGACUCGAAAACUAUCCUUGCCAUUGGAAUUCAAUAAGUCCACCACUCCAUUGGAAUAUACUCGGUGAAUAACAAAUGGACCAAUCCACUUUGACUUGAGCUUCCCAGGAAAGAUAUGGAGUCUUGUGUCAUACAUCAAAACUUUUUGCCCUUCUUGAAAUUCCUUGUUGGAGAUGAGUUGGUCAUGCCACUUCUUCAUCCUCUGUUUUGCAACUUUGGAAUUGAUAUAAGCAUUAUUUCUUAAUUCCUCCAUCUCAUUAAGGUCUAGAAAUCUCUUUUCUCCGGCCUUGAUCAAAUCCAUAUUCAGCUUCUUUAUUGCCCACCAAGCUUUGUAUUCAACUUCCACAGGGAGAUGGCAUGCUUUACCAUAGACAAGACGAUAGGGAGACAUCCCUAGAAUAGUCUUAUAAGCUGUUCUAUAUGCCCACAGUGAAUCAUGAAGCCUAAUAGACCAAUCUUUUCUGUUGGAAUUCACCACUUUCAUCAAAAUGUUCUUUAUUUCUCUGUUAGCUAGCUCAACUUGCCCGGAAGUCUGAGGAUGAUAAGGUGUGGCCACCUUAUGCUUCACUCCAUACUUGGAUAACAGAGCUUCAAAAGGUUUGUUACAAAAAUGAGCACCUCCAUCACUGAUUAUGGCCUUGGGCACCCCAAAUCUUGAGAAAAUGUUCUCUUUAAGAAACUUGAGAACCACCCUAUGAUCAUUUUGCUUACAGGGGAUUGCCUCAACCCAUUUAGAAACAUAAUCUACCCCUACCAAGAUGUAAGAAUUACCAAAAGACAUUGGGAAAGGUCCCAUGAAGUCAAUGCCCCAUACAUCAAAUAUCUCUACUAUCAGAAUGGGGUUCAUAGGCAUUUGAUUUCUUUUUGUUAGCUUUCCAAGCCUUUGGCAUCUAUCACAACUCCUACACAUGAUAUGGGCAUCUUUAAAAAGAGAGGGCCAAGUAAACCCUGACUGUAAUACCUUCAUGGCUGUUUUCUGAGAGGCAAAGUGACCUCCACAUGCAUUCUCAUGACAAUGAGAUAGAAUCCCUUGCUGCUCAUCUUCAGGGACACACUUUCUAAUAAUCUGAUCUGCACAAUACUUAAAGAGAAAGGGCUCUUCCCAAUAAUAAGAAUGAAUUUUGGCGAAGAAGUGCUUCCUGUCCUGUGCAUUCCACUCACUUGGAAUUUCUCCAGUUACUAAAUAAUUAGCAAUAUGAGCAUACCAAGGAGUUUUCACUAGGAACAUGAGUGAUUCUUCAGGAAAAUCAUCAUUGAUAGGCAAGGGAUGGGAAUUAUGUGCUAUAACUAACCUUGACAAGUGGUCAGCUACUACAUUCUCCACUCCUUUCUUAUCUUUGAUUUGAAGAUCGAAUUCUUGUAACAAUAGAAUCCAUCUAAUCAACCUUGCUUUUGCAUCUUGCUUUGUCAAUAAAUACUUCAAGGCUGAAUGGUUAGUAAACACAAUGAUGAAAGACCCCACUAAAUAAGCUCGAAAUUUGUCCAAAGCAAAUACCACAACUAACAAUUCUUUCUCUGUAGUUGUGUAGUUCCUUUGAGCUUCAUUUAGUGUUUUACUUGCAUAGUAAAUCACAUAAGGCUUCCCAUCUUCUCUUUGGCCAAGCACAGCUCCUAUAGCAAAGUCACUGACAUCACACAUCAAUUCAAAAGGUAACUGCCAGUUAGGGGCUCUUACUAUUGGAGUUGUUGUUAAAAAUUUCUUCAGUUGAUCAAAGCUAUGCUGACACCUUUCAUCCCAUAUAAACUUAGCAUCCUUAGCUAACAGCUCACAAAGAGGUUUUGAAAGACUUGAAAAACCUUUUAUAAACCUCCUAUAGAACCCUGCAUGGCCAAGGAACUGCCUUACUCCUUUCACAGUUGUUGGAGAUGGUAAUUUGGCAAUAAGCUCCACCUUUGCUUUAUCAACUUCAAUGCCUCUUUCAGAGAUGAUAUGGCCAAGGACAAUUCCUUGACGUACCAUAAAAUGGCAUUUUUCCCAAUUCAGCACCAAAUCUUUUUCAAUGCAUCUUUGAAGAACUGCUUCCAAAUUAACCAAGCACUCCUCAUAUGUACCUCCAUAUACGGUGAUGUCAUCCAUGAAAACCUCCAUAAUUCUCUCCACCAUAUCACUGAAAAUACUCAACAUACAUCUUUGAAAUGUAGCAGGUGCAUUGCAUAAACCAAAAGGCAUUCUUCUAUAAGCAAAUGUUCCAAAUGGACAUGUAAAAGUGGUUUUUUCCUGAUCUGCCAAAUCAAUUUCAAUCUGAAAAUACCCUGAAUACCCAUCCAAGAAACAAUAGAAUGGAUGUCCAAAGACUCUCUCCAGCACUUGGUCAAUAAAUGGCAAUGGAAAAUGAUCUUUCCUGGUGACAGCAUUCAGCUUUCUAUAAUCAAUACACACCCUCCAACCUGAAGUGAGGCGUGUAGUAAUUUCUUCCCCUUUUUCAUUUUGAACCACUGUGAUCCCUGACUUCUUUGGUACCACUUGAAUAGGACUCACCCAAGGGCUAUCAGAUAUAGGGUAAAUGAUUCCUGCUUGAAGUAGCUUCAGCACCUCAGCUCGCACCACCUCUUGUAGAUGAGGAUUCAACCUUCUUUGAAAUUGACGAAUUGGCUUUGCUUCCUCCUCCAUAUAUAUAUGAUGAGUACAAACUAAAGGACUAAUGCCUUUCAAAUCAGAUAUUUGCCAUCCUAUUGCUUUCUUACACCUCCUGAGAACUUCCAUUAAACCAUCCUCUUGAUGACUGGUCAGAGAUGAAGAUAUUACAACAGGACAUUGAUUAUUUGCUUCAAGGUAUGUAUAUUUCAGCUCCACAGGUAAAGGCUUCAAAUUGAGUUUUGGAAUUUCUUUUUCAACAGCUGCCUCCUCUUCUUCAUUGAACAAAGGUAGAAUUCCUUCUAUCUUUCUCCAACUUUGUAGAGUAGCAAGCCCACUAGGAGAUUCAGAAAAACCUUCCUCAAUAUCCUCAAGACUUUCAUUCAACUUGUCUUGCAUAUGUUGAUUGCAGUGCUCCUCCACCAAAGUAUCAAUUAUACAUAGCUCUUCUGGACCUUCUUCUUCUUCAGGAGUGAUUUGCUUUUUAGACAUAUAGAAAAUAUUGAGAUCCAGGGUCAUAUUACCAAAAGUGAGUUGCAUCAGCCCAUUUCUACAGUUGAUGAUUGCAUUUGAAGUUGCAAGAAAUGGCCUUCCAAGGAUGAUAGGAACUAAAUUAGCUUCCUUUACAGUAGGAUCUGUAUCAAGAACAACAAAAUCUACCGGAUAGUAGAAAUUAUCUACUUGAACUAAUACAUCCUCAAUUACUUCUCUUGGAAUUUUCACUGAUCUAUCUGCCAAAGAUAAAGUGAUUGCUGUUGGCUUUAACUCUCCAAGUCCCAGUUGCUUGUAGACUGAGUAUGGAAGCAAAUUCACACUUGCUCCCAAGUCUAGCAAGGCUUUCUCCACUACCUUUCCUCCAAUCAUGACUGAAAUGGUAGGACUUCCAGGGUCUUUGUACUUCAAAGGGGACUUACACUGUAAGAUUGCACUUACUUGCUCAGUCAAGAAGGCUUUCUUGUUUACAGUCAACCCUCUUUUGAUAGUACACAAGUCCUUUAGGAAUUUUGCAUACGUUGGAACUUGUUUGAUCAUAUCCAGCAGUGGAAUAUUAACUUUCACUUGUCUCAAUACUUCAAGGAUUUCAGCUGCAUUUCUAACCCCCUUUUUCCCCUGUAAUGCUUGAGGAAAAGGUGGAAAAGUUGAUUUCUUCAGCUUUUCUUCCUUCAGAAGCUCCUUCUUUUCUUCAUUGAUCUCACUCUCUUUAUCUUCCAUUUCCUUCCCUUUCUUUAUCUCUUCUUCUUUCUCAACAUGUGGCUUGGGUGUUGGCUGCUCAAUUUUCUUACCACUCCUUAGAGUGAUCAAAGCUUUCACUUCUUUCACCUGUGAUGAUUCUCCCUCAUGGCUUUCCACUUCAUGGACACCUUUGGGAUUUUGAUGAGGUUGAGAAGGAAAUCUUCCUUUUUCUUGCAGUGUAUUCAAAUUUGUAAGCCUUGAAAUUGAAUAUUGGAUGUUAUCAAACUUUUGGUUCAUAUCAUUUUGCAUUCCAUCCAUUCUUUUGUUCAACACACUCUCCAUUCUAUCCAUUCUUUGAUCCACUCUGUCCAUUCUUUGAUCAACUCGAGCAUUGGUGGCUUCUUGCUUUCCCACAAAAUCUCCCACUACCUUGCUGAGAUUAGCUAUUAUUUGUUCAAUACUUGAAGAUUGCUGAGAUGGUGGAUCCGGCUGUUGGUAUUGAGUUGCUCUGGCCUUCCAUGAGAAAUUUGGAUGAUUCCUCCAACUUGAAUUGUAGGUAUUUCCAUAUGGUGCAUUGUUAUUGGGCCUGAAUUGUCCAACAACAUUUGCUUGAUCUCUAUACAUUUCCCUUUCAGCUGAAAUUGCAGGGCACUCCUCUACCAAAUGUUCAAACGAUUGACAAUUGGGACACAACUUCACUUGCACUGGUGCUUCAGCAACAGCUUGCACUUCAUGCAUUCUUUUCAGCUCCAGCUCCUUCAAUCUUCUUGUCAUAGCUGCCAACUUUGCUUUCAUGUCAUCAUCUUCUUUUAAAUUAUACAUCCCAGCCUUUGCAUUGUAAGCAUUCAACUGAGACUUCAUCUUUCCCACUUCUCCUUUAGUUGGUUCAUCCCAUCCCCUUGAAACAUCAGCUACAUAGCUCAAGAAAUCCAUAGCUUCCUCUGGAUUUUUGCUCAUGAAAUCUCCUCCACACAUUGUCUCGAGGAGUUGCUUCAUUGAGGAUGACAUACCAUCAUAGAAAUAACUCACCAAUAGCCAAGUAUCAAAGCCAUGGUGAGGACAAGCAUUUAUAGCUUCCAUGUAUCUUUCCCAACACUCAUAGAAUUUCUCAUUCUCUUUAGCUGAAAAAUUUGAAAUUUGCCUUUUCAAGCCAUUUGUUCUAUGAGUAGGAAACAAUUUCUUAAGGAACUCAGCUUGUAAAUCAGUCCAAGAGCGGAUACUCCUUGGCCUUAAAGAAUUAAGCCAAAUUUUGGCCUUAUCCUUUAAAGUAAAAGGAAAUAACUUAAGCCUUAUCAAGUCAAUUGAAGCUCCUCCCUCUUGGAAUGUAUUACAAACAUCUUCAAAUUCCUUGAUGUGUGCAUACGGAUUCUCACUUUCCAUCCCAUGGAAAGUUGGUAGAAGUGGAACAAGGUAUGGUCUGAUCACUAGCUGCUCUGUAGGGGGCACUAUACAUGAUGGUGCACUCAUACGAGGUGGAUGCAUACGGUCCCUCAUUGAUCUGAAUUCAUUGAGAUUGUCUUGACGACCUUGGUGACUAUGCUGAUCUUCAGGUGCAGCCUCCAUGAUAUUCAAGAUUACUUCAAAUUCUCCUUUCUGAGGUGUAUCACACUUAACAAGCCUACCUCUAAUGUCUCGUAUCCACUUGGGCAUACACAACUAGUAUUCAGCUGCAACUAAAAUGAAAAUAGAGGACAACAAGAACAGAGGACUACAAUAGCAAAAUUAAACUAGACUAAAAUUUAAAAAGAUAAACUUAGAUUGUAAAAUAAACAAAGAAAGAAUGAAAAUUAGUAAAGUGAAAGAAACUUUACCAACUUGUGAUGAAAAUCACAAGUACUCAAAAAUGGUAUCACAAUGAACUUGACACUCAUUCCCCGGCAACGGCGCCAUUUGACUCAUGCCCAAUUGGUGUCUCAGCUGAUUUGUAUUCAGCUGGUGCUCCUUGAUUGAGGAAGUGAUCAACAAAAUUUAUACCUAUAACACCAUACACUAGGGUAGCAAAUACAAAGCUACUAUAGUAUAGUGGCUCUAAGGAUCGUUCACUGGGAAUGAUUUGCAAGCAAUCAAGGAUACCAAUUCCAAGUGAAUUGGUCUUGUUUCAUUUCACGGUUAGCUUAAGAAGUAAAACACAAAGUUUGAUUGGUAAAGGUUUAGACUUAAACUAACUAACUUAACAGAAGUUUGGAAUAAUUUAGGAAGAAAAGCAUUCCUUGGAGAUUUAGGUUCACUGGGGUGGUUCCUCAUGCAAAAGACAUAGCUCCGGUCAGAUGGUUCAUUUCCUCGCAUUAGAGAUUCAACUUAGAGUCAAUUCUCUAACCGGUGAUGUNNNNNNNNNNNNNNNNNNNNNNNNNNNNNNNNNNNNNNNNNNNNNNNNNNNNNNNNNNNNNNNNNNNNNNNNNNNNNNNNNNNNNNNNNNNNNNNNNNNNNNNNNNNNNNNNNNNNNNNNNNNNNNNNNNNNNNNNNNNNNNNNNNNNNNNNNNNNNNNNNNNNNNNNNNNNNNNNNNNNNNNNNNNNNNNNNNNNNNNNNNNNNNNNNNNNNNNNNNNNNNNNNNNNNNNNNNNNNNNNNNNNNNNNNNNNNNNNNNNNNNNNNNNNNNNNNNNNNNNNNNNNNNNNNNNNNNNNNNNNNNNNNNNNNNNNNNNNNNNNNNNNNNNNNNNNNNNNNNNNNNNNNNNNNNNNNNNNNNNNNNNNNNNNNNNNNNNNNNNNNNNNNNNNNNNNNNNNNNNNNNNNNNNNNNNNNNNNNNNNNNNNNNNNNNNNNNNNNNNNNNNNNNNNNNNNNNNNNNNNNNNNNNNNNNNNNNNNNNNNNNNNNNNNNNNNNNNNNNNNNNNNNNNNNNNNNNNNNNNNNNNNNNNNNNNNNNNNNNNNNNUGGCUUGUAAUGGCUGCAACUUUUUCGUUUCAACUCCAAAUUGCACACCGUUUGAAGCAUUGGAUUGUUGACUUCCUGAGCUUUGAAAUGGUAUAUAGCAUGCAUCAUUUGGACUUCAGAAAGUGCUCCAAAAGUGGCUGCUACGACUGUCAUCAAGAAUAAGCUUCAUGACUGAUCCUCUUUGCUUUUUCUCCUUGCAAUCCGGAUUCACUCUUGGCAAUUGAAUUCUAAGCUUUGCCCAAGAUUCCUCAUAGCUCUCCUCAUUCUUGACUUGCUUUGGUGAUCAAAAUACUAACAAAAACACCAAAACUUACACAAAGUGAUCAAAAUUGCUUUAAAGGAUCCUUAACAUGCCAAUUGAGUUAAAAGGCCUAAACUACUACUCAAAAGUGGUAAAAAGGAUUAAUUAAAGGCUAUCAAAUAGCACUUUUUGAGUAGUAAUCACUUCAGCAUCUAUUUCACCAGCUACAGUUGAGUGAUGGGGCUCCCGACACUUCUUUCCCUGUGGCGAUUACUCCUACGUCUCCAGAUCGAGCUAGCAUGUUGUCUCUAUGCUUUCCAGAGGAGAUCAUGAGUGAUGGGAUGAUUCUUGAUCCUAUUGAGGUGAUUGAUGGAGUUGUUCCCCAUGAUGAGUACCGUGAUGAGAUGGACAUGAUGACCGUGAGCCAGAUUGCCGGCAUUGUUCAGCUUCAGCCUGUUUCAGCAUUUGAUAUGUUUGGGGUAUCUACCAUUGAGGUUUUUGAGGGGACUCAGACUCUUCCUGUUCCAGAGCUUCCAGAGGAUGAUAGUAGUUUGUUUGAGGGCAUUGUUAGCCCAGUUGAGGGAGCGUCCGACCUUGUGGACCCACCUCUUUCUUUUGAUGUUUUAUCGGGAUUUGUCUCCCGCUCUGACGAUGUUUCUGUUGCUUCAUUUAUGGAUUUGAGCAUUUUUGAGUAUUCGCCUGUCUUUUGUGAUAGUAUCUCUACGUCUGCACCCCACUCACCCAUUACACAGAUAUUUGAUAUAGAUGAUGAGAUUGCACAGCCCAAUUCGGAUAGGGACUCUUUUGAUCAUGACUCUGGUCCCAUAGAUGAGAGAGUUUCACCUGCUGCAGGGGGCGUUGAGACUGUUGAUUUUGGCACAGAGGAUCAGCCUAGAGAGCUGAAGAUUGGUUCACCCCUAUCUACAGAUGAGAGAGAUAGACUCAUCCAUUUACUCAGGACAUACUUGGAUGUCUUUGCAUGGUCUUAUGAGGACAUGCCAGGUCUUGAUCCCUCUAUAGUCCAGCACCAUUUACCUACCCUACCACAUGCUAGACCAGUUAAGAAAAAAUUGAGAUGGUUGCAUCCACGUUGGAGUCUACAGGUAAAAGAGAAGAUUCAGAAACAACUCAGUGUUGGGUUCAUAUCAGUAGUUGAGUAUCCAGAGUGGUUGGCUAAUGUCGUCCCUGUUCCUAAAAAGGAUGGCAAAGUUAGGGUUUGUGUUGACUUCAGAGAUCUCAAUAAAGCCAGCCCUAAAGAUGACUUUCCCCUUCCACACAUUGAUUUGUUGGUUGAUGGCACCGCAGGCCAUUCGAUGUUGUCUUUCAUGGAUGGGUUUUCAGGGUAUAAUCAGAUUUUGAUGGCUCCAGAGGAUAUGGAGAAGACAACCUUUAUUACUGAGUGGGGUACCUACUGUUAUAGAGUUAUGCCAUUUGGGUUGAAGAACGCAGGAGCCACUUAUCAGAGAGCCGCUACCACUUUGUUUCAUGACAUGAUGCAUAGGGAUGUCGAGGUUUACGUGGAUGAUAUGAUUUUGAAAUCCCGAGGUAGAGCAGAUCACCUAAAUGCUUUAGAGAGAUUCUUUGAGAGGAUCCGGAAGUUUAGAUUGAGGUUGAAUCCCAAGAAGUGUACCUUUGGAGUGACUUCUGGGAAGUUAUUGGGACAUAUAGUCAGUGAGCGGGGCAUAGAGGUCGACCCAGAUAAAAUCAAAGCCAUACUUGACAUGCCUGCACCAAAGACUGAGAAAGAGAUUAGAGGUUUUCUGGGCAGAUUACAGUACAUUAGUCGGUUCAUAGCCAGAUUGACAGACAUAUGUGAGCCUAUCUUUCGUCUUUUGAGGAAGAACCAGCCAACAGUUUGGAAUGAUGACUGUCAGUUUGCAUUUGAGAAGAUCAAGGAGUAUUUGCUUUCUCCUCCUGUUUUAGUGCCUCCUACGCCAGGACGUCCACUUCUUCUAUAUUUGUCAGUUUCAGACAUGGCAUUGGGAUGUAUGUUAGCUCAGAUUGAUGACUUAGGAAAGGAGCGAGCUAUUUACUACCUAAGUAAGAGGAUGUUGGAGUAUGAGAUGAAAUAUGUUAUGAUUGAGCGCCUAUGCUUAGCACUAGUUUGGGCUACCAGGAGAUUGAGGCAUUACAUGACGGAGUACUCAGUACAUUUGAUAUCCCGCUUGGACCCGUUGAGAUACUUGUUUGAUAGACCUGCAUUGACUGGUAGAUUGAUGAGAUGGCUUGUACUUUUGACAAAGUUCGAUAUUCAGUAUGUUUCUCAGAAGUCUAUUAAGGGAAGUAUUGUUGCCGAUCACUUAGCCUCACUACCGACAUCUGAGGACAGACCAGUUGAUGAUGAUUUUCCAGAUGAGGAGUUUGUUGCUAUGACCAGCUUAUCGGGAUGGUGCAUGUACUUCGAUGGUGCAGCCAAUCAGUCAGGGUAUGGGAUUGGUGUUCUAUUGGUAUCCCCUCAGGACGAUCACAUUCCGAGGUCCGCUCGUUUGACAUUCUCUGAUCGACAUCCUGCCACGAAUAACAUAGUUGAGUAUGAGGCUUGUAUCCUUGGUUUAGAGACUGCAUUGGAGCUUAACAUUAGACAGAUGGAGGUGUUUGGUGACUCCAAUCUGGUACUCAGGCAGAUUUAGGGGGAUUGGAAGACUAGGGACGUGAAGCUUAGGCCAUAUCAUGCUUAUUUAGAGUUGUUGGUUGCGAGAUUUGACGAUUUGAGAUAUGUUCAUCUGCCUAGAGCGCAGAACCGAUUUGCUGACGCCUUAGCUACUUUAGCUUCCUCCGUGGACAUUCCGAUUGAUGUAGUCAUACGUCCAUUACUGAUUGAGUCCAGGUCUGCACCCGCCUAUUGUUGUCUGAUUGGAGAGACAGAGGUCCAGGAUGACCUACCUUGGUAUCAUGACAUUUAUCAGUUCCUUAGAUCUAGCACAUACCCUGAGGUAGCCACUACCAAGGAUCGGAGAGCACUGAGGCAUUUGGCUACUAGAUUUGUGAUUUCCGGAGAUACCUUGUACAGACGAUCAGCUGAUGGUAUGCUUCUGUUGUGUUUAGAUCGAGCCUCUGCAGAUCGAGUGAUGAGAGAGGUUCAUUCAGGAGUUUGUGGUCCGCAUAUGGGAGGACACAUGCUAGCUCGUAAGAUUAUGAGGACGGGUUACUUCUGGUUGACUAUGGAGACAGAUUGUUGUCAGUUUGUCCAGAAAUGCCCAGAGUGUCAGAUUCAUGGUGAUCUCAUACAUGCACCACCAUCAGAGUUACACGCCUUGACUUCGCCAUGGCCAUUUUCAGUAUGGGGUAUUGAUAUUAUUGGGAAAGUUUCACCAAAAUCUUCCAGUGGUCAUGAGUUCAUCCUAGUUGCCAUAGACUAUUUCACCAAGUGGGUGGAAGCCGCAUCAUAUGCGAGGUUGACAUCUGCUAGGGUUGCCAGUUUUAUCAGAUCACACAUCAUUUGCCGCUAUGGGGUUCCUCAUGAGUUGAUUUUCGACAGAGGGGCGCACUUCCGAGCUGAGGUAGACACUUUGUUGCAGGAGUAUGACAUCCGACAUCAUAGAUCUUCAGCAUAUAGGCCACAGACCAAUGGGGCAGUAGAGGCUGCAAACAAGAAUAUUAAGAGGAUUUUGAGGAAGAUGGUUGAGACCUCUCGAGAUUGGUCAGAAAAGCUUCCUUUUGCAUUGUGGGCAUACCGCACCUCUUUUCGCACUUCUACAGGAGCUACGCCUUACUCCCUAGUGUAUGGUAUGGAGGCUGUUUUGCCAGUCGAGACAGAGAUGGGCUCAUUGAGAGUAGCCCUUGAGCAGCAGAUUUCUGAGACAGAGUGGGCUCAGGCUCGAUUUGAUCAGCUUAACCUUUUAGAUGAGAGGAGAUUGAGAGCAAUAGAUCAUGUUCAGGCCUAUCAGAGAAAGAUGGCUCGUGCCUUCAAGAAACGAGUCAAGCCUAGACCAUUGCAAAAAGGGGACUUAGUUUUGAGGAUUCUCAGAGGUUUGAUUGGAGACCCUAGAGGAAAGUUUAGACCUAGUUGGAGUGGGCCUUAUGUUAUCCGGGAGUUGACUCCAAAAGGGGCUGCAUGGUUGACAGACUUAGAUGGAAACCAAUUUUCAGAGCCUACCAAUGUGGAUCAGCUGAAGAAGUAUUAUGUUUGAGACUGUGGUCGUAGGAUGGGUGGCCACCAUUUCGGUUAGCCUCAUACUUUAUCACCUCUAUAUAUUAGACCGUUGCUAGCCCAUUGAGCUUCGCAUGGUAUGUUAUAGCCUUAUUUCUUUCUUAUAGCUUUGAUUACCAUUUCUAUACCCGGGUUGGGGCCCUUUGAUGUAUAUGUAUGCUUUGCUAGGAAAGUCUCAUGAGCUUUAGACUUAUAGGUCUAUCUUCUCAUUUUGUUACCAUCCUCUUAUCACCCUAUUUGUUCUAUUUUAUUAUCACCACAUAUUCAUUCUCUUUCUUGUCCCUAUCAUUAUUUGCUUCAUCUUAUCUAUUCUCUUCCUUGGGUUGAUGAUUCUUCACGUCUUAGUGCAAGGAGGGUUGUCAUAUCACUCUAUUCAUUCCAUCAUUUGACAUUGAUUCGGAGAUUUUAGUUUGAGAGGUUAUCUCAGGGGUUGGGGUUCAUGUAUCCAUCAGUGGUCAGAGAGAGUUUGUUCAUUCCUUAUAUUUUUCCAUUGGAGUUUGAUUUAUUGAUGAUCAGAGCAUGCGCAAAAAAAAUCAAAAAAAAAAAAAAAAAAAAAAAAAAAAAAAAAAGCGCAAGGAUAUGCUCAUGUAUGGUAUCUCAUUCCAUUGGGUAUUUAUGCCACCUUUUGAGGUUCAUUUAUUGGGUAUAUUUGUCAUUAUGGGUUUUUGUGAGUUUUUAUGAGUUUUUUCAGUCCUUGAGCCACUCCUGUUAUGCAUUUGGAGUGUCGAGGGUUCAUAUGAGAGUUCUAUGAGAUCCUAUGCUUCUUAGAUCAUGAUUGAUAUAUUUUAGGUAUGAGAGAUGAGUGACCUUUUUACUAGGGUCUCCGGAUCAUUGUCUUAUACCCACCAUUCCAUCAUUGGUGAUAUGACUUUCCUUUAUUGUACUAACAUGGGUUGAUCAUCACUCAUUCCACUUUCCCAUUGUUUUCUUUUGUAUCCCAUUACCUCUUUCCAGAUCUUUGUUCCACCUUUUAUUCAUUCCUUACAUAUUGAUACCCAUUACUGAUUUGAUACCUUCUUGACAUCAUUCACAUAUUUCAUUGAUGGCUUGACCAUUCAUCCUUUCNNNNNNNNNNNNNNNNNNNNNNNNNNNNNNNNNNNNNNNNNNNNNNNNNNNNNNNNNNNNNNNNNNNNNNNNNNNNNNNNNNNNNNNNNNNNNNNNNNNNCCAUUCAUCAUUUCUCUCAUUCGUUAUCGACAUUCCCUUUGGUANUCUAAGUCCAUGACUCAUGAGAUUUUCUAUGCAUACAUCUGUGCACGAGGGUACGGGUUUGAUCAUUGGGUAUUUGAGCNUAGUUUCCCUUUCAUUUCUUUCACCCUAUCACCUUGACNUAUGUUACGUCCCGUGUCUUAAGACCACCCUGAGGCCAUGAGAUCAGACAUUAUCUUUGACAGUCUUCACUUGGACAGACUUUUGUAGAUUGGUUGAAGUAUGGUCGUUACUAUGUUAUCUUUUAUGGAAGAUACUUUUGGAAGCAUUUGGUCUCUCUCUUGCUUGGCAUAUUGAUGUUUGAUGGAUUUUUGGGUUUGGAGACAGUUCAUUGAGGAUAUUAGAUUCAUCAUUUGGUUGUACAUCAGAUAUCCAUACUAGGGCAUAUUCCCCUUUCAUUUGGUUGAGAUGAGCCCCUAGUGGAGCACUUUCUUUGAGUCUGGGUAUUUUCACCGAUCAGAGAUCCCUAGUGAGGUAUGUUGAGACUAUAUCAGUUCUAGUGGAGCAUCGUUGAGCCCCUAGUGAUUCCAUUCCCGGAAUACUUCUGAGAUAGACUAGUGGAUUAUUACUGAGUUGGAGGCAGUUUUCAGUGCAGUGUAUAGACCAGGCAUACUGGGGCAUAUUUCCCCAUUUUGAGGUUACCAGAUUCCUAUCAGAUUCAGUCAGGGAUUCAUCAGAGACAUGUUUCUAUUUUUGAGAUUACCACAUUUCUCAUCAUUUUGGCUAUUCAUUUGAGAUUAGAUUUAGAGUGUCUCCCUUGAGGCAUUGGUCGAUACAUCAUUCUGACUUCUUAGCGGAUUAUUGUUGAGCUGAGGAUAGUUGAUUGAUGAUGUCGGAUUCAUCCUUUGGUUGUGCAUCAUAUAUUCACACUGGGGCAUAUUCCCCCAUUCCUCCGAGAUUCUUAUCUGUUAUUGUAUACGGUACGAGGAUGGAUGAUCAUUGUUAGUUUGUUUACCUCACGACUUCGACAUUAGAUUAUCCACACUGAGGCAUAUUCCACUCUCCUUGAUGAGAUUGUGUUUGGACAGCGAUACGAGGAUGGAUGAUCAUUGUUAAUUUGUUUGCCUCACGACUUCGACAUCCGAUAUCCAUACUGGGGCAUAUUCCCCUCUCCAUUACGAGAUUUAUUUGGGCAGUGAUAUGAGGAUGGAUGACUGGUGUCGGUUGUUUAGCUUAUGACUUUGACGUUAGAUCUUAUACUGGGGCAUAUUUCCCCCAUUUUCUUUGAGUAUCCUUGAGAUUGAGACAGUGGCCAGCUUGGUUUUAGAUUGAGCACUAGCCUAGAGCUUCCGACGAUCGACUGUAUCAGGGCCUCCCUACAUGGAUUUGUUGAGAUAGAGACGGAUCGCAUCAGGUUUCACCCGAGGAGUGUGGGUGGAUCCUUUAGCCAGAUGUUCAUGAGACAGAUUUAUUUUCGUCAUUGUUACCUUGUAGAUUGGAUUAUCCAGAUGAGCAGUAUUUUACACACUUUGAGGUUUACUUUUAGAUGAGCCAUGAUAUACACUCUUUGAGAUUUACCUUUUGAGAUUCAUCGACAGAGCAGCUUUUCAGACAUAGAGGGUUUCUUCAGUUUAGACUUUUCAGAGGUUUGUCACGAUGCAUCAGUUUCUGACCUAUUGAUUUCAGCGGAUGAUUGAUUUACUGGUUGUUUCGGCAGUGUGAGCACCCUGGAUACUGGGGCAUAUUUCCCUUCUUAGUUUCAGUAGUCCGACCCUUGACAUUUUGAGUAUGUGGCUUUGAGCCAAUUUAUUUCAUGUCCACUUUCAAGUUGGUCUUCUCUAUUAUUCCCUUCUAGGCCCUGAGCCUCAUAGCUUUGAGUUAUUCAUUCCUUCUAGACCCCGAGUCUUAUAGCCUUGAGCAUCCUUUUUCCCUUAGGCCCUGAGCCCGCUAGCCCUGAGCUAUCAUUUCCUAUAGACCCAGAGUCUUUCCAGCUCUUAGCUGAGCUUUCAUCACUUGGUCGCCCAUGAGUGGUUUGACCUGGAGUUUGCGUAUCGCAUUCUCCUUCUAGCCGAUCAGUCAUAGAGCCCUGAGCUAUUCAUCGACCCAGAGUCAUUUUCCAUCUUGACCCAGAGUCAUUCAUAGCACCUCGAGCCCUGAGCUCACGACCCGGAGUCAUUUGCAUUAUUCACAUCCCUAAGAUGUUUCGUUUUCAUCAUUCUAGCCACUUGUGAGUGGCCUCGACCCGACAUCUUGAGUCGGAAAGUAUCCUGAUCGGCUAUCUAUUUAGAGCCCGGAGCUCUCGACCCAGAGUCACUUUCCAUUUCGACCCAGAGUCAUUGUUUCCUAUUUUAGAGCCCGGAGCUCUCGACCCAGAGUCACUUUCCAUUUCGACCCAGAGUCAUUCUUUCCUAUUUUAGAGCUUAGAGCUCUCGACCCAGAGUCACUUUCCAUUUCGACCCAGAGUCAUUGUUUCCUAUUUUAGAGCCCGGAGCUCUCGACCCAGAGUCACUUUCCAUUUCGACCCAGAGUCAUUAUUUCCUAUUUUAGAGCCCGGAGCUCUCGACCCAGAGUCACUUUCCAUUUCGAACCAGAGUCAUUCUUUNNNNNNNNNNNNNNNNNNNNNNNNNNNNNNNNNNNNNNNNNNNNNNNNNNNNNNNNNNNNNNNNNNNNNNNNNNNNNNNNNNNNNNNNNNNNNNNNNNNNAGCUUUUAGAAUACACUUGGCCCAUUAGGCACUACCCUAGGCCCACUUAGUCUCACUUUAGACCCGUUUAGGCACACUAGGCCUACGAAGACUUUAUUUAUUUAUUUAUUUAUUAUUUAUUUAUUUAUUUGGUUUUUAGUUUUAAUUUUAUGAUUAUCAUUCACUUUUUAUUGGUUAUCUUCCUCUUUAUAUCAUUUUCCUUAACUUAUUUAUUUAUUUAUUAUUUUUACCAUUUUUUAAUUUAUUUACUUAUUUAUCUAUUCAUGCAAUUAUUUAACUUCAAAAAUUUCAUGUUUUUGCAAGGAAACUUACCAUUGGAGUUUAAGGAAGGCGGGACUCUCCUUGGAAGGUUUUGGAGGGGAAUUUGAAAUUGGGAAGAUUGCUUUUGAUUGGAGGAUUUAAAAAAAGAAGAGAAGAAGAAAGGAAAGAGGAUAAUUUUCCUUUUUGGAAACAAAUUUAGGUCUUGAGGGGUGAUAUAUAUAGGUGAGAAAAGGAAAAGAAUAGGGGGAUUUUUCUAGGGGGGCAGGGCACACGGAAUUUUGAAAAAAAAGCAAGGGACUUCGAACGGAGCUCGGGCUGUCAUUUAAUCAUCAAGAGAGGAUUUUCUCUUUCACUUCAAAGGUUAGUUUUCUAUAUAGUACUUUUAUUUAGCCUAGAUUUUUUUUUUUUUUUUUUUUUUUGGAAGUUUUAGUUUUUGAUUAAUUCUUUGUGUUAAAGUUUAUAUUAUUUUCUUUUUAAAUCCCCAAUUAGUUUAAUUCUAAUCUAUCUUUUAGUUUAAGUUUGUUAAUGAUUUUAAUUCUUAAGUUUAAAUAAUCCUAUCGAAUAAAGUUUGUAUUUUUAAUCCCAAUUAGUUUGAUUUUAAUUUGUUUUUUAGUUUAAAUAUAUUUUGUUGAUCUUAAUUCUUGACUUUAAAUAAUCACGUUAAAUAAAGUUUGUGUUUUUAAUCUCAAUUAGUUUGAUUUCAAUUCGUUUUUAGUUUAAAUACAUUUUGCUGAUCUUAAUUCUUUAGUUUAAAUAAUCAUAUCGAAUAAAGUUUGUAUUUUUAAUCCCAAUUAGUUUGAUUUUAAUUUGUUUUUUAGUUUAAAUGUAUUUUGUUGAUCUUAAUUCUUUACUUUAAAUAAUCACGUUAAAUAAAGUUUAUGUUUUUAAUCUCAAUUAGUUUGAUUUCAAUUCGUUUUUAGUUUAAAUACAUUUUAUUGAUCUUAAUUCUUAAGUUUAAAUAAUCAUAUCGAAUAAAGUUUGUAUUUUUAAUCCCAAUUAGUUUGAUUUUAACUUGUUUUUUAGUUUAAAUGUAUUUUGUUGAUUUUAAUUCUUAAGUUUAAAUAAUUGUAUUGAAUAAAGUUUGUAUUUUUAAUCCCAAUUAGUUUGAUUUCAAUUCAUUUUUAAUUUAAAUGCAUUAGUUGAUCUUAAUUCUUUGUUUUAAAUAAUCACGUUAAAUAAAGCUUGUAUUUUUAAUCCCAAUUAAUUUGAUUUCAAUUCGUUUUUUAGUUUAAAUAUAUUUUGUUGAUCUUAAUUCUUGACUUUUAAUAAUCACGUUAAAUAAAGUUUGUGUUUUUAAUCUCAAUUAGUUUGAUUUCAAUUCGUUUUUAGUUUAAAUACAUUUUGUUGAUCUUAAUUCUUAAGUUUAAAUAAUCAUAUCGAAUAAAUUUUGUAUUUUUAAUCCCAAUUAAUUUGAUUUUAAUUCGUUUUUAGUUUAAAUGUAUUUUGUUGAUUUUAAUUCUUUACUUUAAAUAAUCACGUUAAAUAAAGUUUGUGUUUUUAAUCUCAAUUAGUUUGAUUUCAAUUCGUUUUUAGUUUAAAUGCAUUAGUUGAUCUUAAUUCUUAAGUUUAAAUAAUUAUGUUAGAUAAAGUUCAUGUUUUUAAUCCCAAAAUAGUUUAUUUUUAAUUUAUUUGUUAGUUUAAAUAUGUAUGUGAUUUUAAUUUAUUAGUUUAAAUAAUCAUGUUAGAUAAAGUUUAUAUUUUUUUUAAUUCUAAAUUAGUUCAGUUUUAACCUAUCUUUUAGUUUAAGUAUAUUUGUGAUUUUAAUUCAUUAGUUUAAAUAAUCUUGUUAGAUAAAGUUCAUAUUUGAAAUUCCGAUUUAGUUUAGCUUUUAUUUAUUUUUAAUUUGGAUGUGUUUGUAAUUGUAAUUUAGUAGUUUAAUUAAUCUUAUUAAAUAAAGUUCAUGUUUUUAAUUACAAUUUAAUUUAGUUUUAAUUUGUUCUUCACUUGUAUGUGUUUGUGAUUUGAAUACAUUAGUUUAAUUAAUCCCGUUAGAUAAAGUUUAAUCUUGAUUUAAUUUAUUUUUUUAGUCUAGAGGCAUUUAUGUGUUUAGUUAAUCUUAUGUUAAUUAUGGAUUGUUAUUCUCAAUUUAUGCGCUUCUUGAAUCCUUGUUGCUAAUUCUUGAUGGAUAUUUCAUUAGCUUAUUUGAUCUAAAUAUUAAUAAUUUAUUGCUUUGAUAGUUUCCUUUUUGUUCAAAGGCCAUUGGAAAAUCAUGAAGAUUGGCCUCUACCAUCACCAUUAUCAUUUUUGUUAAUUACUAAAAAAAUUUUACUUUGAGGUUUCAUUUUUGUUUUGUUGGGUAUUUUAUUUCUUAUAUUUUAUUUUUUCCAAAUUAAUUCCUUUUAUUUUAAAAUAAAAUACUUUUCUCAAAAAAAUCAUUUUAAAAAUCUAUUUCAAAAACUCAUUUAGAGUCCUCAAGAUCAAAAUCUUUUUUUUUUUAUUAUUUAAAAAUAAUAUGCAACCAUAUCUUGUUCGGUUUGCAUCCUUCUCGGUUUUCAACAAAAAUUUUGGUUUUGAACAAAAACACGAAUCAAAGCUUGUGGUCCCAAAUAAUGGGAUAAUUCUGGGCUAAAUUUGUGUAUAUUAAUUUGGGGAAUUGGUGAAACCCCUACAUAAGAAAAUCUUUUCAAAAAUUAUUUUUGUUGCCAUCUUUGUCACUUGUUGAAAUUAUGUCUAUUUUUUUUAGGAAUUGUAUACAUGAUGAGUGUGAUAAUUAAUGUUUUCAUAUGCUUUGAUAAUUUUUGUUAUGCUAAUUAGAUAACAAGCAUGCUAGGGUUUCUUUAUUUUAUUAUUAUCUAAUCCCUCAUGUCUUAUGGAAGCGCAUUGUAAGUUAUCUAUGCUAUCCAGGUACGCCCCCUAAUGACCUACUUUCUAAAUUUCGUAAACAAUCAUGUCACUGUGAAGUAUGCAUAUGUUUGAUAAUCCUUAGGUGUUUAGAUGUAUGCUUGAUUCACUAUGAUUAAAUACAUGUUGUGUGUUAUACUUCUAUAUUAACUCUGAUGUUUUAUGAUAGCGCUUGAAGAGCGGUUCAGGUACGCACCCUAACUCUCAGUUUUUGUGAUUUGAUCUUGUUUAGCAUGCAAAUCUUUUGAAAUCACCUAGUCUACCUAGGUAUCCAUAAUUAACCGAUUAAUUGCCAUAUUCCCCUUAACUUAAUUAGUAGAGACCUUUUUAGGGCUUAGAAGGGUGCUACCUCUUAGAGGUACCUUCCCAAUAAGUAACCUGAUUCCCGGACCAAGACUUGGGUUUUCAAAGACACGCUUUUCCAAAAAUUAUGGAGUCAUUUUUUUUAGGGUUUUAUUUCUUGUUUUAUUUUCCCUUCAAAAAUAAAAAUAAAAUAAGUGGCGACUCCAACUUUUUUUUUUCAAAAAUCAAUUUUUCACAAAAUAAUAAAAAGCGAGUCUCGCCGAUCGAGUGGGGGCGCACGUGAAAAAUGCGGGUCCACACAUUGGAAGAAUUAUAUCUGGAUGGGAACCAUUUCAGUAGUCUACCUGCUGGCAUCAAUCGACUUACCAAUCUAAGAGUCCUUGACUUGAGUCACUGCAAGAACCUUCAACAAAUUCCAGAGCUUCCAUCAAGUCUACGUUUCUUAGAUGCGCAUUGUUCGGGUGGUAUUUCAUCAAGGCCCUCGCCUCUGCCUAUUCAUUCUAUGGUCAAUUGCUUCAAACCAGAAAUUCCGGUAUGAUUCUCAUGCCAGGUUCCUUUUUCUUUUGUGCCCAUUGAAUUUACAUGGUGCUUUUGUGCAGGUACCCAGGAUUCAUGCUGGUUGUACAUUCUUUGUAGGCAAUGGAAUUAGCAUUGUUGUUCCUAGAAGUAGUGGAAUUCUAGAGUGGAUAAGGUAUCAGAGUAUGGGAGGUUAUAAAGUAACAAUAGAGCUCCCCCCGAAUUGGUAUGAAAAUAAGGAAUUGUUGGGAUUUGCUUUAUGCUGUGUUUAUGAAUCCAACAAUGGAUUUGUCUUUGAGUCUCGGUAUGAAUCAACUGAUACAUCUGAUAAUGAGCCUGACAAUGGAUCUGCAUAUGAAUCUCAGCAUGAAUCAGCUGAUACAUCUAAUAAUGAACCUGACAAUGGAUCUGCCUAUAAAUCAGCUGAUACAUCUGAUAAUGAACCUGACAAUGGAUCUGCCUAUGAAUCUACCUAUGAAUCUCAGAAUGAAUCAGCUGAUACUUCUAAUAAUGAACCCACCAAUGGAUCUGCCUAUGAAUCUGAAAAUGAAACAGCUCAUACAUCUGAUAAUGAAGAACCAGUGGAGUUCUAUUGUAAUUUGAGUAUCCGAGGAAAUAAUCAAUCAACAGUCGUGGAUUCUUUCAAAUUGGGUUCUUACUGUGCUAAUGAUGUUGCAUCAGAUAUAGUGUGGGUGAUAUUUUAUCCCAAGGUAGCUUUUAAGGAAGCUAUUAAGGAAUGGUAUCGCUCUAAUCAAUGGACACACUUUAUGGCUUCAUUUGGCGGUUUCGGAAGAGUGGAACAGUGCAUGAUCCGUCUUAUAUAUGCAGAAGAUUAGGAACAAAAGCAUCCAAAAAUGGCGCAAGACAGUUCUUCUCAUGGGAGUUUUGGUGAGCAUGGAUCAGCAACAGAAGAUACUAAUAGUAAAGCUCAUAAUAAAAGGAAUCCCACAGAACAGAGCCGAUGAGAGGAGUCACACCAUAAAAGAUUCAGAGGAACCCAAGACUGAUCUCAAGUUUUAUGCUCAACCACACUGGCAUCACCAAUGUUCUCUUUACUGGUAAUUCAUCUUCCUUUCUCUUUUUUUCCCCAAGAUAAAUAAAAAUUCAAGGCUAUCACCCAUGGGCGCAAACUGAUGGAGUUAACCCUGCUUCUUAGGAUUCUGGCAUUCAUCAGGGUCCAUUCCUUAAGCUUAUAUGAAUUAACGACUUUCCUGGAAAAGAAAUCAAAAUUCACGAAAUCAAAAUCAGAUAGUUUACUGAAAGUUUGGAAUCCACAUAUUACUGCUUCUUGUUUUUUUUCCUACUUCAAAUGGAAUUCCAUUUAUGUAGUACAAGAAAUUUCUUUAUUAAAUGAUGCUUGCUUUGAAAGGAAUCCUAUAUUUGUUUAGAUACAACUAUUGUCUCGCCUUACGCAAGCCAAUGAAAAGAGUUCAUCUCUCCUCGAACCACUCAUGGCACAUGAAUCCAAUCUGUCUAAAAUGCUAUAGUUGAGUUUUCAAAUCUGUUGCAAAUUUUUGCUACUCCCAGCCAUGAACACUUUUCUUAUAAAAAUUAGAUGUUUGAGUUGAAAGCAAAUUUUUGCAUUCUACUUGUAUAUGUUUUUGCCUAUAAAAGGUUCCAGAUUCAUUGAGUUCAGAAUAGCAAUAACUCAAUUGUUAGCAUUUUAGGUUCGAUUAAAUCUAACAAUACUUGGAGGAAACUCAAAUGCAGGGUUGAAAUCUAAAGAAUGUGGGUUAAUUAUUUAAUCAAUUGCACGUUUUUCUUGUCAGGAUAAUCACGUGGAGGCACCUAAAGAGCUUCCUAAGAAGACUAAGUUGUUCUUUGGUCAUUCUAUCGGUAAGUAGGAUGUUGAAUUCUAUGCUAAAGAAAAAAUAAUACUGCCCCUAUAUGAAUGAUAGUGAGUAUCAAUAGUAUGAGCUCUUGUUUUUCAAUUAGAAUUUUCAUGCUUGCAACUACACUUGAUUUUCUAUGUUGAAAUAGUGAAGAUUAAAUUGGAAACAUGUUAUAGUCAACUUUCUUUAAUUAUCAGAUUAUCUAUUUAUAUCUAAUUAGCUCAAUAUGUUAAGGAAAUUUCUAAAAACUAAAAACAAAGUCAAAAUUGAGAUAGGCCCCCUCUUUUCUUAAUGUAUAAGAGGUGGAUGAGGUUUUCAAUGAUUGAUUUAGUUUUCAAUAUUUGCAGUUUUGAGGGAGAAAGUAGAUUCACUCAAAUACAAGGUUCAGAAAGCUAAAGCUAUAUCAAAAGCUGCUAAAAAGGAGUAGUAAAGUGAAAAUAAAAAGCUGAAUGAGUUGCGAGCUCAUUUUAAGGCCAGAAAUGAUAUUCACCAAGAAGCAUACACACAUUUGCAGAGUUUGAGGAAGAACUUGUCUGAGAAGGUAUGGUCUAUAAGCUAUGCAUGGAAAUAUUUACAAUUGAUGGAUUGGAAUAUAUGUAUGAUAUGCUGAUGUUUUUAAUGACAUGUUGGAAGUCUGCCAUGAGUUCCAUAUAAAGAUAUGUGACUACUAUACAAGAGUACCAUCAAAACUUGAUAAAAUUGACACACAACCACUAUAUGGGUUUUCUUCAGUCAAGUUUGAUAAUUCUAAUGGUAGGAUUAGAUUUAUCUUAGAGAAAAAAAUAUCAAGUUUGAAAUUGAUUAUGCACACUCUUAGUGUCAUGACAAAAAUGACUUCUGAAAUGUGAAUCUCAAUGAUAGAACACACCUAGAGGGGGAGGGGGGGUGAAUAGGUGUUUUUGUCCAAUUUAAAGGUCUCCCAACACAAGUUAACUAACCUUAACAAAUUUUACAAUUUUUCCUUCUCUUUACAAACACUUAAAAGCACAAAUUAGAAAUCACAUGCAAAUAUGAAUGUAACAGUACUCCCCAACAAAAAUAAAAUACAAUUCACAUGCACAUGUUCCAACACUCCCUAACACAAAACCUUUAAACAGUUUUUGAUUAAUAACAAGAAUAAAAUAUCUCAAGUAUACCUUUGAACAAUAUUCAGAAACAGCAUUAAAGGCAACCUAUAUCUAUGUUACAUCAACAUUCAACCAAAAAUUAGAUGUCCAAAUUAUCAAAGAUAGUUAAAACUGAAAAUGAAAUGAAGAGGAGAAUGAGAGACAAUGAGACAACACCAAAAUUUACGUGGAAAACCUCCUAGGAGGUCAAAAACCACAGGCUUACAACUGAUAAAAAAUUCCACUAUGAAGGGCAAUCAAGGUCUACAAGGAUUUACCUAGCUCAAGAUUUCCAAUCCCUCACAAACUACUUGACAAGCACUUUCACACCUCUCCACCACGCCUUCAUCUUCAGGAACAUGCUUGGAGUCCUUCCCAAGCUUGAUCUCAGCCUUCUUCUCGAAGCUCCAUCAAGAAGAAAAUGGGUUUUCACCCAAGCCCAAAUGAAUGAGAGAUGAAUGUUCAAAGAACUCAACCCAUUUUUCUUUUUAGAAAAUCCAUUAGAAAAAUUUUCUUGAAGACUUGAAUGAGAUUUUCUUGGAAAGCAAACAACCUCCAAAGGGGAAGGGAAUGAAGAGCUCACUCACCAGUUGUUGCUCUCUACAUUCCAUACAUGAGAGAAAUUUGUUUUUAAAAGGGAAAUGAAACACUUAAUCAGGCUGAAAAAAGAUCUCAAAAAGGAGUAAUUUAGAUUGAUCUGCCCCUGUACUUGGAUCGAUCCAGAGACAAGGUAACUUAAAACUUUUAGCAAAAAAUAUUUUUCCCAUGCUUCCCUAACUUUUUUAAUAUGAUUCAAGGCAACCAACAUUUUGAAAAUAGGGUUGAUUCAAAUUCAUUCAACAUAAACUCAGCUACUUACUUUGACUUCUUAGCAAAUCCAAUGUCUUGAUCUUCAUAAGUCAAGUAGUCCAACAACGGAUUUAGAGAACCAUAGCUAGUAGACACUUAGGCAUUUUGUCCGGAAUUGCCAACCUAACUAUAACACUCACAACUUCAUUAAAAGGACCACAUAGAUAUCAUCUGCACAUGCAAUGAUAGUGUAUAAGUCGAGUGUUUUCUUAGCAAUGAAGUCAUAUAUAAAAAUUAACAUGAAAUGGGUUUUUUUUUUUUUUUUGUAAAUAAUAAAUAAUAAAAUUCACAUGUUUAGACACUCAUUCUUUCUGGUUAGACACCAUUUUAUGUAAAGAAGAAAUUGUCGUCUUCUUGUCUCUUUUUACUUGUGUUUAAGUUCUGUCAUAAAUGCAAACUUUGGCUUCUUACUUCAAUCAUUAGGGGUCUGUUUCGCUAUUUGAUCUUAUCCUCUAAUCUUGUUAUAUAUGAUAACUUGUUAUGUAUCUAUUACAGUUAUAAAAACAUCAAUGUUAAGAAUUUAAGAUGUUCUGAUUAUUUCAUUAUUUGGUCUUUUACAUUAUAAUUUGGGUGGUAUGUACAGAUAAACAAUAUAGAGAACAGGUCAGUACUUCAUGAUGCCCUCUGUGCUCCAAAGGACGCUAUUAUAUAGAGUGAUGGAAAGAGUAUGGUCCCAGAUGCCUACAAGGUUCUAGACAAGAUCAGAGUAUUUUUUUUAGAUUGCCUAUAGUGGUUCCUUAGUAAUUAAAGUUGUUUAUAAAUCUAAUUCAGAUAUGUUAUCCAUAAAUAUCAAGUAGUGAUUAAUUGUUAACCUACGAAAAAAGUAAUAAUUAAAUUUUGGUAGGUUGGAGUCGCUAGAAAAGCAUUGAUGGAUGUAAUUUUUGUUGGCAUUGGUGACAGGUUCUUAGCUACACCCUCCUUUUUGUGCACACUGCUCUACAAACAGGAUUAGAUUCAUCUUCCAAAGUUGAAAUUGCUCGUCAUCUUGGAGGAAUAUGGAAUUGGGUGUAAGCUUGAAUUCAUCUUCCAAAGUUGAAACUCAUCUUCCAAAGUUAUUCAUUGUGAUUUUAUUGGUGUUGUGAAGAGUCAACAACAUGUGUACCUAAAGGCACUAGACCCCAAGAAAUGGAUAUUUCUGAUAAUCUGCUGUUUACAUUUAAGGUGUUCCUACAUUGCAUUACAUAAUUCUUGAUUAGAUAUGGUUUGCAGAUGAAGUGGUAAGUAACCACGACACUCCAGUUUCUUGCAGACCCCUGAACAAUUGCAGAAUGAGAAUGUUCCCCAGCAUCUUAUUCCUCACAAGGUAAUGUCCUUUCAGUUUGUGCUCUGAAGUCUUCUUUCAACGAAUAACCGUUUUGCUUUAAUGAUUGCAUUUUCUUUCACAGACCUUCUCUGGCAACCGGCCAUCUCUGAGCCUUCUGCUUCCGUCACUGGAUGCUUAAUAUUUAACAAGUUCAAGAUUUUGUACUCCUUUUUUGUCCUUUAUCGAACCAUCUUGUUCAAGCAGAUAAAUUGUUAUAAGUGUUCAUGGAUUUUGGAUUAUUCCAUGAUGAUCAGAAACUACUAGAAUCUGUCAAGGUUAGAUUAUCAUUAAAGCCUCACAAAUUUUUGGGCUCCCAUAUGUCAUGUAUUUUACCAUUGAUGAACCGGAAGUGUAGUAUUUACUAUGCUUUUUUGUUAUCACAGGAUGUGUGAAGAGCAAUCUUUGAAUCAAACAGUGGAGGAAAUUGGCCUUUUGACUUGGGAUCAGACUAGAAACAGGUCACUUACAUAUUAAACAAACUUCAGAGUUUGUUCUGAAUCAACUUCAUGAAACCAUUUCUCAGCUUCCUAGGAGCCAUGGAACAGCAAUAUUGAUGAGUUCCAGAAAGAAAACGUCUGAUGCAACACAAGGAGCAGACUGAGGAUUUUGGAUGGACACUCUUUCGUCCCUGGCAAGUUGCCGCCUUUGCUACCCAAUUCCAAUUCUCCAAAUGAAAGAACUGACAGAUCACUUUUUGCCUCAACCAAGGACACCUCUGUGCCAGCAGUCUUGACUGUGGAACAAGUAAAACAAAUGGUACCUGCUGAAGCUGAGGGGGCAGAUGAUGAAUUGGUGCUGAAGGUGGUCAACCAAAAGAAUCAGACCGCAAAAACUUAAAACCCCAUGAAGCCCGCUACUGGAGCGGUCUCAGCACCUGUUUCUGGGAGGGGUGAGAUUGAAGGGAGUGAAGAAAAGGAGCAUAAGCAAACAGAGAAGGAAGAGGAGUUGGCAAGGAAGGUAGGGGAAUUGAGAAGUGAAGAGGAAGCAGCCAUGUUGAAGGAGCAAAGUCUGUUGGAGGAGAAAGCCAACGUUAAGGAGGCACUGGAAAGGAAACAAGGAACUGCAGAAAAGGCCAAUUCCUUUGUGAGUGCUGCCACCUUUUCAUGAUACGGCCAUAAUAAUGGAUGUUUAAACAGUCUUUAACUCUACAUACUUUCUUGCAUUAUACUAGUCAUUGAAGAUUCAAGAUCAUCAUUUCAGACAUAUGGUCGUUCACUAAAAUCAAUAAUUUGUUAUUUUUUUAGUUUUAGUAACAGGUAAUGUAAUUUUUCAAGGAAAGAUUUGAUGCAACUUUUUGCCCAGCCAUAGAUUGGAAUCUGCCAGUCUUAACUCUCAUAAGAAAGAAAAAUUUCCGUCCUCCUAUGGAUUAUAGGAGAAGAUUUUAACAUGGAGUCCACUUGAGAGUUUCUAAUACCCACUUGAGAUUUUAACUCUCAUAAAAAAGAAAGUGCAGAAAAGGCCAAUUCCUUUGUCACUACUGAGGCCACCAUUUCAUGAUACAGCCAUAAUAAUGGAUGUUUAAACAGUGUGAUUAGACAUAAGUUUGCCAUUCAUAUAUGGGAACAUGUUGCUUGUCAAUUAUGAAUAGUUUGUCAUUCAUAUAAGUAGGACACACAAAAUAUGGUUUGUCAUUCAUAUGAAUAGUACCCUCUUGAAUUAAUUGAUUAAAUAGACCUGCAAAUAUAGUGCAGAAAAGAAGCCAUGGGAUGAGAAUAAUAGAGAAAAUAUGAACAAAACUUAGCUUCGGCUUUCGAUGAGUCCAGGUAAAAUCAAUAUCAAUAUAACCUUGCAGGUGAAUCAUCAUAGUGAAGUUUUUGGAAUUUCAAUGCAUGAACAUAAAGCCACUAAAAGGGCCCCUGAUAUUCAACCAUUACCGGUUCAAGGAUUGUAUUCAGUCAGCGUAUAAUGAGGUGGAUAUUUUGAUUAUUAGGCGAAUCUCAAGAAGUGAUCUCAAUGUUUGACCAGAGAGCCUUACACCAUGGGUGUGAUUUGUCAGACAACAAUUCAUUUCUGCUUCAUGGUUGUGCCUUGAGGUAAGGCUUUAGAGGCAUAAGCCUCAAAAGCCUCUUAAAAUUGGUUGUACACUUCUUUGCAUGAUGAAUGGAAGUUCCAAAUUUUGAUGACUUGGUGAUGUUGGAGUAAUUGUGUUGAAAGCAGUCAAACACAAACAAUUAUUAAAGAAGAUAAAAAUUUGGAAGAAUUAAAAUUUUAUUGUAUUCUACCACUCUCUUUUUUUUUUUUCAAAUGUUACAUAAUAUUUUAUUUAUAGAUACCCACACUUAAUUAAAAAUGACAUAAUUAAAAGUAAAUUAUCAUUUAAUUACAAUGGAUUCAAUAGAACAUGGUUGAUAUGCUCAAUUUUUGUCCGUCAAUAAAAUUUGAUUUGAGUGAAUAUAAUUAGAGUAAAAUAGUCUUUUUAACUAUCACUUUUACAAUAAAAAAGUGUUUUAUUUAAAUAAAUAUUUAAUAAAAUUUUAAAAAUAUUUUUGAAAAAUAAUUAUAGUAUUUUCUAAGAAACAUUUGAUAAAUAAUUAUUAUAAAAAUACUUUUAAAAACACUUCCUUGAAAGUACUUCAAAGUUGGCCGAAUGGUAAGUUAUACAUCAGGAUCUUAAUGAUGGUCUAGGUAACCAUCACCAUUGAUUGUUUUUUAAAACACAACUUCCAUUUAAAUAAUAUUUUAAGGCAAGUCCUAAUUAUCAUAUUUUACAAGAUAUUUUUUAAAAUUAUUGUUUUUUUUCUUUCAAAAUCCCAAGAGGGAGGUCACCAAUAUGAAAAUAAUGUGACCCAUCUCUAUACUUUCGUCUCCAUUAUUUGGACUACAUCAUAGUUUCCUUAUUGACAACAUGGUAGCCACGUUAAAUACCUACAACUUUGAAAACAAGAUCUCAAAACUAUGCCUAUUUGAUUAUAAGGCUUAAUUAUCAUAGUUUAUCAUUUCCUAGCAUAGUUCUUAGCAUCUAAGUAUUUGUUAUAUAAGAAUUUUUCUCAUUUUUCAACUUGCAUUUUGUUUAAAAAAAUUUUUAGUUGUUUAAAAUCAUUUUGAAAAUGUCAACUCAUGAUUAUAUACAUUUUAGUUCUAUAAGGACUAAAAUCACUAAACGUCAUGGUAAUUCUAUUUAAGGUAAUUUGCUUUAAAUGAGAAUGUGUUUAUAUAUAACUUAUGAUUUACGGUAAUAAUAGAGAUCGAAUUUAACAAGACAUAAGUUUUGAAUUAAAUAUUAGUAUAUUUAUGUUUCCUUCUUAUUUUUAAUCUAAAACACAUUAAAUGUAUGCUCUUGAAUUCCUUCAUGUUUUUGACAUAAUACGUAUAAUGAUAAAUCAAUUAUUAUUAUUUAAUAAUAUGGAGCUUUGACUUUUGACAUUUAAGUAACAUUGUCAAUGAAAGCUUCAUUAUUUUUGUUUCAUGGAAGAGCAAAUGAUGUGAUUGAAUUACACUUCAAUUAUGUUUGUUUCUUUGAAAAUACUCGAGAAAAAUAAAUAUUAAAGAAAAUAAUUUUUUUAUAUUUGAUUUUACUAUAAAAAAUAAUAUAAUUAAAAUUAGUAAUAAAUUUAAAUAUUUUUAAAUUACUUAAUCUUUAUAUAAAAGAGUUAAAUAAAUAAAACGAGUUUAAAACAUAAUAUACAGGUAAUUUAUUGACUUUAAAUAUUUAUCUCUCUCUUUUUUACUUCACUUUUUCUUUUCUUCUCUUUUUCCUCUAUCUUCUUUCUUUUGUAUUUUCCUUCAUGCUUUUUGGAACCGAACAUAUUCACAUAUAUUCUUGAUUUCUAUUGGGUUUAUGAAAUUUGAGUAGACAUAAUUAAUGGGUCAGUCUUUAUUUUCAUUUGACAUAAUUAAAAUAUUCUCUUUGAUGAGAUAAUCUUAGAUAAAUUGUUAUUUGAUUGCAGCAUAUUCAAUCGAAUUCGAUGGUCUAGCUAUCAUAAAUCAUACAUGUGCACUAUUUACAGUAAAUGAACAGCCACAAACCAUACAUAGAGGAGAUGAGGAUUUCAUAAUAAAUUAUACAAUAAUUACAAAGGAUAUGAUAUUAACUUGCAGUAAAUUGCAACAUCAGCACUCUAAUGCUAGAUUAGAGGAUGGGCAAUGGGCUCAGAGUAAUUAGACAAAGUAAGUCUGAUUAUUAUUAACUUUCCUAAUCUUUCGUGGGCCUUUUGGGUGCUUUAUGUGCAAAAGGUGAAAAAGAGAAAAGACUAUAACUAAAUUGCCAAUCCAUCACUGACGUUAUAGAUUGAUGAACAAUACCAAAGAGGGUGUUACGAAAUAAUGAGAAUAAAUAAUAAGAAAAAUAGAAUAAGAACACAUAGAUAUUUAUGGAAAACUCUAGAUGAGAAAAAUCAUGAAAAGACGAGAAGAAGAUUCAUUAUGUCAAAAAUUGGUACAAAGUGAGAGAGUUGAAAGCGACUACAACAAAAGUAUAAUCAUUGUAACCCUAAAACUAUACAUUAUAUAUAUAUAUAUGCAAGAGUUGAGAACAACUAUGGGAUGAGGUCUAUCGACCCAAUCCCUUCACUACCCCCAUAAAUUUAUCAAAAAAUCUCAUAAUUUUAACUUUACUACAUAUAUUGCAUCGUGAGCUUUUCGAAUCGAAUAAAAAAGAAUUUGGAAUCAUCAAACAUUAACAAAGGGAGUGAGAUCACAACUUUGGAAGGAUUUUUUUAAAAAAAAAUGUAGACUUGAAUGGUAAAUAGUAAAGUGUGUUUGAGAGUGACACUUGAAAGUAUUUUCAAUGUUUUUAAUAUUUGAAAAACAAAAAUUUUUAAAAUAUAAAAAUAUUAAAAACAUUUUCUAAAAUCAAUAUCAAAAACCAUUUUAUAAAAUCAGUAUCAAACUAUCAAACAUAAUUUGAAUUUAAAUAAAGACAAGAACAACAUUGACUCUUAACUCACCAAACCAGUCCCAGUUCACUUAUUGAAUGAAAAGAAAAUAAUUAAAAAUAAAUAACAGCAUCCAUUCUACCAUGUUAUGACGAGUAAAAGACAAUGGAGAUUUUAACUUCGUUGCCUUAAAAGUCGUGCCCCCUUUCAUGAGUAUAUAUAAUAAAAUAUAUUCGUUUGCAUCUCUUGAUAGCAAAUAAUUUGAUAAUUUUUUAGAAUUAAUUAAUGAAGAUAAUUUUUUGAUAAUUAACAGACAAUUAUGUCAAUAUUUUGACAUUAUAUUCAAUUCACCAAAUAAGAUUAUUUUUCACCCAACAAUAAUUUAUGUAGAAUAAUAAAUAAAUUAAAUUAGCAUUUGAUUAAAAAUUGGUUUUGACUUUUGUGAAACCCCACAGUCGCUCACUGCUAAAGGGUUACAGCUAAUCAAAGAUAAAUGAGAGAGAAGAACGGGACAUCGGACAUCCUCACCACCAUCGUCUCGGCAUCAAAGACCCUCUUUCUUCUUCUUCCAAAUUCUGUUCUUGUAAUUUUGUUACAAUCCAACCAUGGAUUCCACUAGCAAUUCUAUGAGACCCUCUUCUUCUUCUUCUUCUUCUUCUUCUUCUUCUUCUUCUAAUUCUAAAUGGAGGUACGAUGUGUUCUUGAGUUUCAGAGGCGAAGAUACCCGCGACAGCUUUACUUCUCAUCUCUACUCGGCUUUGGAUCGUGGCAUCAUUAAAACCUUUAGAGACGAUAAAGAACUUCGAAAGGGAGGAGAGAUUGCACCCGAACUCUUAAAAGCUAUUGAAGAAUCAAGGAUAGCCAUUCUUGUCUUCUCGAAAACCUAUGCUCAUUCCAAGUGGUGUUUGCUGGAGUGCCAGGAAGAAAAGGGACGAAAAGUUUUUCCUAUCUUCUAUCAUGUAGAGCCGUCUGAAGUAAGGAAACAGACUGGGAUUUAUGGAGAAGCAUUUAACAAUCACGAGAGCAAUGCAGACGAGGAGAAGAAGAAGAAGAUAGAGAAGUGGAGGACUGCCUUAUGGAAAGUCGGUAAUUUGAGUGGAUUUCCUCUGCAGGAUGGGUAAAUCCCUACAUCGCUUUUUCUAUUUCCAAUUUUCUGUCAGUUUAUUUUCAUUCUUGUUAAUAAAUGAAAUAUCUAUGAUUACAUAUAUCAAUCAAAAUCCAUUUUUAAGUAGUAGCCAUUAAUAUGUUUGAUUACUUCGAAGUAAUAAGAAAGAGUUAUAAAAAAAAAAAUGAUUUUCUCAUGUUUAAUUUAUUAUUAAAAAAUAUGAAAGAAAAAAAAAUUAAAAUUAAAAUACAAAGGAAAAAAUCAGUGAUUUAAAAAUUUUGGACUGGCAUUGAACCGGUUUUCAUAGAACCGCUCAAUAUGUGGGUUGACCAAAACACUCUUGGGCUUUGUCUGCUGCAUUGGGCCUAUGAUCUUCCCAUCCACCAGCCAGCCCAUAGGCAGCCCAUUGAACAACUUGUCCAUUCCUUCAGGUGUAGGUUAUUUGCAUUGUGAGGAUUUGAACUUGGAUGUUUACAAAAGAAAGAUGCCAACCAUUAUGUUGUACAACUUCUUUGAUAGGUAUAGGUAACAAUAUUUUAUAUUAAUACUAUUUGUAAAUUUUUAUAAUAUAAAACAUUUAAACAAAUAUAAAUAUUUAUAUUCAUGUUUAUUUUUAUAAUAAUUAUUAACAAUAAAUAUGAAAAUAAAUUAAUUAAUAUAAUAUCUUUAAAAUUUUAAAAUAAUAAAAUGUAUAGAUAUGUAGAUAAAAUAAAAUGUUAUAAUUUUCUUCUCAUAUGUAAAUAUUAUACAUAUUUUAUUUAAUAAAAUUUGAUAUACUAAUACAUUUAUAUUUAUGUUUAUCAUUUAAUAGACAUAUCAAAUACAAAAAAAGUGAAAUGCUAUAAUUUUAAUAUUAUAUAAAUUUCUUAAAAUUAUUUUUAAUUUUAAUAAAAUAUAAAUUAUAUAUUUAUGACAUCACCGGUUCGACCACCAGUCCGACUAGUGAACCAUGAACCGGUAACUUUUCCGGUUCAAUAACAAAUCCAGUUCUAAAAACAUUGGAAAAAAAUAUAUAUUUAGUUUAUAAUUGAAAUGAUAUUAGAAAAUCUAUAGUAAUAACAAUAAAAAAUAUAAUAAAAUAAAAUAAUUGUGUCAAAUGCCAAGUUUUGAAUUGUUAAAAAAUCUUUUAGAUUCCAAAAUAUUCUUCCUUUCUAAUCAAUCCAUUUUAGCCAUAAUUUCUAUCAAUUAGAAAAAAGGUAUUCUAUCAAAUAAAUUGUUAAAAUUGCUUAUUAAUAUGCUUUGUAAAUUUGGAGAUAAUCUAGAAUGAUUAUUUAAACAAUUGUAAUACCACCCUAAAUUUUUCUAAAACUUAGUUAUUAAAAUAAUUCUCAUAUUUUCUAUGCACUACAUGAGUUUACAUUUUUUCUUUCCUUAAUAUUGUUUCUUCCUCUAUAUUUGCAAGUUGAUUACCAAAUUUAUUUACCUUUUAAUCUAAUGUUUGUAUCUCGUUUUAUUCUAACUAUCCCAUGAUGUUAGGAUAAUUAAUCUCUUCUUAAGACCUAGUCUUUCACGUUGAAUCAUCUAAUGCUAAACUUAUUCCCUUGCUAUUCUACAUUGUGUACUCAUGGGAUUAAUAUAUUGUAAUUGAAAUUGUUUUUUUUUUUUCCUCUUUUUCUCUUUUAUGUUCUACAUUCCUCUAUGCCUCAAUUACAAAUAAAAGUAAGUAACAUUUGAGCUUGUUUGACAAUAUUUUUGAAACUAAUGUUCAAAAAAUAGUUUUCCCCAACCCAAUGUUGAAAAUAAUGAAUAAAUUUUUAUUUGAAAAUUCAAAUAUGGAAAACACCUUUCUCAACUUAUUAACUAUAAAGGUACGAUAAAUUUAUGUACAAUAUAACAAUACUAGUAUUAUCUAUAUUUUCAAUUCUUUAUCACAAUACUCUAUAAGGAAAUACCUAAAAAAAAUCUCAAAUAUGCUCUUAGAAAUGAACUUGUUUACCAAACCAAUUUUUGAAAAUAAUUUAUAGUAAAAAAAAAAAUUAAAGGGUUUAAUACACUUUACCCCCUCAACCUAUCCCGUGUUUUGUACAUUGCCCCCUUUAGGUUUAAAAUCAAACACAUUACACCCCAAAUUUCUUAAAUUGCAGCAUUCUGCCUUUUUUGUUGGACAAUGUUAGUUUAAGUGGACAAAAAUCUCACAUGUUGUGCAUGUGACUAACUAAUGAAGGGUAGAUUUAUAAAUUCUCAAACCAAAAAAAUCCCCUAACAACUCUCCUUCUCUCUGUCUUCAUCUUCGUUUUCAUCAAACCCUAACCCUCUCUCUGUCUUCAUUUUCAUUUUCAUCAAAUCCUAACUCUAUUUGGAGUGCAAUUUUCAGCAUUCCCCCCCUCUUAUAAGUGGUCAACAGUUUUAGCAUUUUGUCUUCGUCUUCUUACUAUCUUCUCCUCCUUACUAUCUUCUUCUCUUUCCUACUCCAAUCUUCAAACCCUAAUCAUACAUUGUUUUCUUAGGCAUUGUAGAUCUUCCACCUCUGAAGAAGGAGCUAAGGGAGCUUUGAGUUUUGAAUUUUGGGGGUUUGUAGAUGGACAUUUUCUGAUGUGAUUAUUGGAAUGACUUUUUAUUUUUAUUUUUUUCUGCAUUGAUUUUGAAGGGUACCCAUUUGGGUGAAAUUGUUUUUGUGUGUGCAAUGCUCGAUGAAAGGUGGGAUUUGGGUGGUUUGACUUUACAUGUUCUUGUUGUUUGGUUGCUGAGAAAGUGGGGAAAAAGAGGGGAGAUUGGAAUUUUGGGUUGUUAUGGGUUUUCUUUGAUUUGGUUUCUAGAAGGAAAUUGAAAUCUCUACUCAAUGAUGUUAACUAGUUAUAGUGAGGUCGAUGAAUAUUACAAUUUAGGAACUUUGAUUCGUUUUAUUUUUAAUUUUCUCAUUAGCCAAACGAGGUUAGGGGUGUAAUAUGUUACAACUAAAAUGAAGACCAAGAUUGAGAGAGGGAGAGCGACUUUUUAGGUUUAAGAAUUUACAAAUCUACCCUUCAUUAGUCAGUCACAUGCUCAACACGUGACAUUUCCAUCCACUUAAACUAACACUAUCCAACGAAAAAGGCAAAGUGCUGCAAUUUAAGAAGUUUAGGGUGCAAUAUGUUCGAUUUUAAACCUAAAAGGGUAAUGUACAAAACACGAAAUAGGUUGAGGGGGUAAAGUAUAUUAAAUCCAAAAUUAAAUAUAUAUUUAAGUUAUAAAACUAUUUUAUAUUCCAAAGAAAAAAAAUCUAUUUUCAAAAACAAUAUCUAGACAAGCAUUUUUCUUUGAAGUGUCAUUUUAAAAUUUUUUUCCAUGAGUGUAAUUGUUGCUAGGCUUUUGACCAAUAAACAAACAUGUGUAACUUUCCUCGUCAUUGUAAUUUAUAUUUGGGAAAAAAGUGGGGAUUUCAUCACAAUAUGAAACUUAUGUAGCAAUUAUUAGUAACCUAAAUAUAAAUAGAACUAAAAUGGAGAAUUUACUUGUUUACAAAAUAAAUAGUUGAAAGUCUUAUAAGCAUAGAGAAUGGUCAUAAGUCAUGUUGUAAAUAAUAAAAGCAUUGAUAGGUUAAGGAACUUAGGUGGCAAAUUGAUAGAUUUCUAGCCAAACUAUUAUUUGUCUCUAUAAUAAAAUCUCUUAUCAUAAAGGGUAAGGAUACUUUAGAAAGGUCAACUUCAAUUUGGCCCUUUAGAAGCAAUUGAGAUAUUUACAUUAUUUUAUUGCACAUAUACUUGACAUAACACAAUGAAAUUUAAUUCAAACAUGCAACUCAACACAUUUUUAAUUUACAUUCUAUUUGACCUUAAUUUAGUUGCAUUGAAUGAAACUAAACACCAUUCUAUAAUUUCCAUUUACUUCAUCUUUGUUUUCUUUGGCAAUUGAUUCUAACUCACUGCGUGUUUUAUUGUACUUUACAAUGGACAGAUUUGAGGCAGAGUUUAUUGAAGAUAUCAUUGGUGAGAUUAGAAGAUUAAUUCCUAAGUUGGUACAUGUUGGUGAGAACAUGGUUGGAAUGGAUGAAAAUUUGAAAGAAGUGAAGUCAUUGAUAGAUGCCCAAUCAAAUGAAGUGAGCAUGGUUGGGAUUUAUGGGAUUGGUAAAACUACCAUCGCCAAGGUUGUUUACAAUGAUAUGUUAGUUCAAUUUAAACGUCACAACUUUCUUGAAAAUGUGAGAGAGAAAUCUAAAGAUGAUGAUGGUUUGCUUUAAUUACAAAAAAAAAACCUUCUUUGUGAUAUCCUAAUGGAGAAAGAUCCGAAGUUAAGUGCUAUUGGUGAAGGAAUCGAAAAGAUAAAGAAUAAGUGUUGCUUUGAAAAGGUUCUUAUUGUUCUUGAUGAUGUAGAUUGUCCAAGACAAUUAAAAUUCUUAGCUCCUAAUUCUGAAUGUUUUCAUCGAGGAAGCAUAAUCAUUGUGACUACGAGAAAUAAACGUUGCCUAGAUGUACAUGAGUCGUAUUCAUCAUAUGAGGCUAAGGGAUUAGCACACAAGAAAGCUAAGGAACUCUUUUGUUGGAAUGCCUUUCGGCAACACCAUCCACAAGACAAUUAUGUGAACCUCUCUAAUCAUAUAUUGGAUUAUGCUAAAGGCCUUCCAUUGGCACUUGUAGUUUUGGGUUCUUUUCUUUAUAAAAGGGAUGUGGAUGAAUGGGAAAGCACAUUGCAUAAACUAAAAACAAACCCUCUUGACGAUAUUCAAAAGGUACUCCUGGUAAGUUAUGAUGGACUAGAUUAUAAAUGCAAGAAAUUGUUCCUUGAUAUCGCAUGCUUCUUCAAAGGUCAAGAUGAAAAAUUUGUUACAAGAAUACUAGAAGGUUGCAAAUUCCAUCCCAAGAUUGGACUAAGAGUUCUUCAUGAGAGGUGUCUUAUUUCUAUGAAAGACAACACUACAAGGAUGCAUGACUUGUUACAAGAAAUGGGUUGGGCAAUUGUUCGCCAAAAUUAUCCAGAACAUCCUGGAAAAUGGAGUAGAUUGUUGGAAUUAAAGGAUAUUGAAAGUGUAUUUACAUAAAAUAUGGUAAGAGAAAAAUGCAUGAGUAUACUUGAGAUCUAAAGACAUAUAAAAGAUUCUACAAGAUUUAUUUUUAUUAUUAUUAUAGUUUGAGUACCUUAUCUUUUAGUGAAUCCCUAUGUAUCUUAUACUGCUUAUUCUCAAUGCUUAUUUUCAGGGGACAAAAAACAUUGAGGGGAUAUUUCUAAAUAGGGAUUGGAAAAAAUCUCUACAACUUCUUGUACAACUUACUAUUAAAUCUUUCAGAAAGAUAAAUCGACUUAGAUUGCUCAUAGUCAAAUACAAUAUGGUGCAACUUUCCCAAGACUUUGAAUUGCCUUGUCAUGGUUUAGUAUACUUUCAUUGGGAUCGCUACCCUUUAGAAUGUUUGCCAUCAAAUUUUCAUGCAGACAAUCUUGUUGAACUCAACCUCCGGUUCAGCAAAAUAAAACAUCUUUGGAAAGGAAACACAGUAUUGCUAUUAUUUAGUUAUAUUUUUUCUCUAGACUAAUUUUAAUUUUUUUUGAAGUUUAUUUAUUGAAAUAGUUUUUCUUCUGUAACAGACUGCUAGAAAGUUAAAGGUCAUUAAUCUCAGUUAUUCCAAGCAUUUGGUUGGUAUUUCAAGCAUCUCAAGUGCACCAAAUUUGGAGAUUCUAAUUCUAGAAGGUUGUACAAGGUUACUUACGUGUUUCACCCAUGCUUAAUGUUAUUAUUAGUCAUUAACUAACUAUUUUCUUGAAUAUAAUAGGGUGCAUAAGACUCAAGAGUCUUCCAAGGAACCUUCAUAAGUUGGAAUGUCUUCAAACUCUCUUAUUGAAAGGGUGUUCAAAUCUAAAGAGCUUUCCAGAAAUCAAGGAUGAUAUGAAAAAUCUGAAAGGCCUUUAUUUGAGUGAAGCAGCUAUAAAAGAGCUUCCAUCAUCAAUUGGACAUCUACAGGCCCUUGAAAACUUGGAUUUGUCAGGUUGUGAAGACCUUGAGAGUCUU
rnacentral:lncRNA from 1 species